CCGAGUCUCCUUUCCUCGUAGUAUUGAGAGACGUGGAGAGUCUGUUUUUUCUUUAGUUCAUUCUGAUAUAUGGGGUCCUAGUAGAGUCAGUUCAACCUUGGGAUUUAGUUAUUUUGUUAGUUUCAUUGAUGAUCAUUUAAGAUAUACUUGUAUUUGCUUAAUGAAAGAGCGUUCUGAGUUGUUUUCUAUAUUCCAGAAUUUUUGUGCUGAAAUUAAAAAUUAAUAGGUGCUUCCACUCGCACUUUUCGCAGUGAUAAUGCCGUAGAAUAUUUAUCCUCUCAAUUUCAGCAGUUUUUGACUUCUCAAUAAAUUAUUCAUCAAACCUUUGUCCUUAUACCCCUCAGCAAAAUGGGUUGCAGAGAGAAAGAAUAGGCACAUCAUUGAGACUGCUCGCACACUUCUCAUUGAAUCUCAUGUUCCAUUGCGUUUUUGGGGCGAUGCAGUUCUCACAGCUUAUUAUUUAGUUAAUCGGAUGCCUUCAACUCCCAUCCAAAAUCAGAUUCCAUUUGCAGUAUUGUUUCCCUAGUCACCCUUAUACUUUGUUCCCUCUAAAGUUUUUGGGAGCACUUGUUUCGUUCAUAACUUAGCCCCUGGGAAAGAGAAGUUAGCUCCUCGUGCUCUCAAGUGUGUCUUCCUUGGUUAUUCUCGUGUUCAGAAGGUAUAUCGUUGUUGCUCAUCAGAUAUUUUUAGGUACUUUAUGUCAUCUGACGUCACAUUUUUUGAAUCUCAACCUUUCUUUACCUCUUCUGACUAUUCUGACCACCUUGAUAUAUCUGAGGUCUUACCUAUAUCGACCUUUAAGGAGUUUACUAUAGCUCCUCCUCCACCUUCCACCACAGAAGUCUUACCAUUCCAACCGUUGGGGAGUCUAGUGUGGCUCCUCCUAGACUCCCCGCCACAGGAACACCACUCUUGACAUAUCAUCGUCGUCCGCACCCAGCAUCAGGCUCGGCUGAUUCACGUCAUGCACCUGACCCUACUCCUACUGCGGACUUGUCUAUUCCUAGUACACCGAUUGCACUUCGGAAAGGUAUACUGACCACCCUUAAUCCUAAUCCCCAUUAUGUCUAUUUAAAUUAUCAUCGUUUGUCAUCACCCUAUUAUGCUUUUAUAUCUUCUACGCCCUUUGUUUCCAUCCCUAAGUCUACACGUGAAGUAUUGUCUCAUCCAGGAUAGCGACAGGCUAUGACUGACAAGAUAUCGGCUUUACGUACGAGUGGUACUUGGGAGCUCGUUCCUCUUCUUUCAAGUAAAUCUACUGUUGUUUGUCGCUCGGUAUAUGCAGUCAAGGUCGGUCUGAAUGGUAAGAUUGAUGGCCUUAAGACCCGUCUUGUUGCCAAGGGAUAUACUGAGAUAUUUGGGCUCGAUUACAGUGAUACCUUCUCUCAUGUGACUAAGGUAGCAUCCGUCCGCCUUUUUCUAUCCAUGGUUGUUGUUCGCCAUUGGCCUCUCUAUAUGCUGGACAUAAAGAAUGUAUUUUUACAGUGACAUUGAGGAUGAAGUUAAUAUGGAGCAACCACCUAGGUUUGUUACUCGGGGGGAGUUUUGUGGCCUUAUAUGUCACUUGCGCCGGUCACUUUACGAUCUAAAAGAGUCUCCUCGAGCCUGGUUUGGUAAGUUAUCCAGGAGUUUGGCAUGACUCGGAGUGAAACUGAUCACUCUGUGUUUUAUCGGCUCUCUGCGUCGAAUCUUUGUAUUUAUCUGGUGGUCUAUGUUGAUGAUAUUGUUAUUACCGACAAUGAUCAGGAUAGUAUUACUAAAUUGAAACAACAUAUCUCUCAACACUUUAGACUAAGGACCUAGGCAAACUAAAGUAUUUUAUGGAUAUCGAGGUCGCUAAGUUAGCUGAGGUAUUGUGAUUUCACAACGGAAGUAUGUCUUAGAUAUUCUUGAGGAGCCAGGAAUGGCAGGUUGUAGACCUAUUGACACUCCGAUGGAUCCGAAUUCUAAACUCCUGCCAGGCCAAGGGAGCCUCUUAGUGAUCUUGCAAGAUAUAGGCGGUUGGUUGGUAAAUUAAAUUACCUUACAGUGACAAGACCCGACGUUUCCUUUUUUAUGAUUGUUGUGAGUCAAUUUAUGGAUUCUCCGUGUGAUAGUCAAUAGGAUGCAGUUCUUCGCAUUCUUCGAUAUAUAAAAUCAGCUCCAAACAAAGGUUUAUUGUUUGAGGGUCGAAGCCAUGAGCAGAUCGUUGGAUACUCAGAUGCUAAUUGGGCAAGAUCACGUUCUGAUAGACGUUCUACAUCUGAAUAUUGUGUCUUAGUAGGAGGAAAUUUGAUGUCUUGGAAGAGCAAGAAAUAGAAUGUGGUUGCUCGGUCUAGUGCCGAAGCAGAAUAUCGAGCAAUGGCUAUGGCAAUAUGUGAGCUAAUUUGGAUCAAACAGUUGCUCAAGGAGUUGAAAUUUGGUGAGAUUAGUUAGAUGNNNNNNNNNNNNNAUCGAGCAAUGGCUAUGGCGACAUGUGAGCUAGUUUGGGUCAAACAGUUGCUCAAAGAGCUGAAAUUUGGUGAUGUUAGUCAGAUGUGACUUGUGUAUGAUAAUCAAGAUGCUCUUCAUAUUGCGUCAAAUCCAGUGUUUUAUGAGAGAACUAAACACAUUGAGAUUGCCUGUCACUUUGUUAGAGAAGAUACUGCUACAAAGUUUGUGAAGUCGAAUGAUCAGCUUGCAGAUAUUUUUACCAAGCCUCUCACUGGUCCUCGUAUUAACUACAUAUGUAACAAGCUCGGUACAUAUGAUUUAUAUGCACNNNNNNNNNNNNNNNNNNNNNNNNNNNNNNNNNNNNNNNNNNNNNNNNNNNNNNNNNNNNNNNNNNNNNNNNNNNNNNNNNGUACAUAUGAUUUAUAUGCACCAUCUUGAGGGGAGUAUUAGAAUAGUUAUGUAAAUAGUAGUAAAUAACCUUAAUCCCAUAUGUACUAGGAGUAGGACAUAUUAUGUAUAUAUAUGGCUCAUUGUAUCAUGUUUAAUAUAUGAGAAUAAUAUCAAUAAUAUUUUCUCCCGUGCUUUCUCACAGGAGGUUAACAGGAGGAGUGGAGGUAUACUAAUUACGUUGGAUAGAAGGGUGGGGGAGAGGGAACUAAUGAACAUUGGGCUUUAUUCUAUAUUGUGUAAACUUUCUUCUUUCAACAGGAAUUUUGUUUGGUUUCUCACAGGGGUAUAUGCUCCAAACUAUAGAAGGGAAAUGGAGGAGCUAUGGUGGGAGCUGGCAGGGAAUAGAGGAGUUUGUGAGGGUGCUUGGGUGGUAUGUGGUGAUUUUAACACCACUAGGUUUGCCUCCGAGAGAAAAUAAACAACAGGGGUGUCACUGGGGCCAUGAAGAAGUUUUCAGAAACUAUAAAGGAUUUGAAACUCAUUGAUCCUCCAUUAUUAGGAAACAAUUUUACAUGGAAUAAAGAUUAAAGAGAACAGCCAUGAAUGUUCCCCAAGAAUAGAUAGAUUUCUCUUUUCAGCUGGGAUGAAGAAUUCAACAUCAAAUAGUCAUUGCUUCCCAGAAUGUCAUCUGACCACUGUCCUAUUUCUUUAAAAUGUGGCAAUGGGAAUUCUUUUGAGAUCACAGAGAGACCUGAUUGUGUUCUGGCUAAGCUUAAAAUGCUGAAGAUUAAGCUGAAGGAAUGGAAUGUGUCGAAUGGUGGGAGCCUAAAGAUGAAAAAGAUGGACCUACUUAACCAAAUUUCUAUUAUGGGUCUUUUGCAGGAACAAAGACCACUAAAUGAGGACGAAUUACUGGUAAAGGCCAGCUUGCACAUGGAAUUCCAGGAGAUUGGAAAAAUUGAAGAGAGAGCCAAAGAUCUAGAAUUCAAUGGUUGAAGCAUGGGGAUAAGAAUACUAAGUUCUUUCAGAAGACGGCAAAUUACCAUAAAAGAAUUGUUAGAAUAGUUAUGUAAAUAAGAGUAAAUAAUCCUAAUCCCAUAUGUAUUUCGAGUAGGACAUGUUAUGUAUAUAUACAUAGGGCUCAUUUUAUCAUGUUUUACGUAAGAGAAUAAUAUCAAUCAUAUUUUCUCCCGUGCAUUCUCACAUGGUAUCAGAGCGACAGUGAGAAAACAUUCGGGAAAAACCCAGUCGUCGCCGUGCUUCAAUUCCGGCGACUUUUUAGUGCUAUUUUUCGUCAAAAUCAAUUCGAUCGGUGUUGUGCAAAAACCAACACCACCACAAGGUUCUCCAAUCUACGGCGACCAAACCCCAGCAAACACCUCUGUCAUACGCCGCCCCACGCGCCGUCCGGAACAGUCAACCUCGGACGAUAUCUACUCCACGAGCCGGCGCGUGGAGCGUGUUCCGUCCAUUUUUUCAAAAAACUCCUUCAGGACAGCCUGAUCGCCCUACCAUUCCAAGCCUAUCCAUAAUUUUAUUUUUUAAUUCCGACCACUUUGAAUUUUUCCGGCGACUAUACUGAUUUUUUCGGCAGCUACAGUAAUUUUCUGCAAAAACAGUGUUUCCUUCAUCUGUUUCAACGAGUUGUCAGUUGAUUCCUUUUGUUAUUAGGUGAUAAUCCAACGAUGUCUUUGGGAGUCGAUGCUUUCGGGUCUAAAAACACGGGUUCUAGCAGUUUCGGUGUUAUGAUUACCUCAGAACCUUUAAUGGGAGGUUCAAACUACUUAGUUUGGGCUUCGUCUAUCGAGUUGUGGUGUAAAGAUCAAGGAGUUCAAGAUCAUUUAACAACAAAGCUAGCGAAGGUGAUGAAACGGCCAAAACACUGUGGGAGAAGGUCGAUGCUCACUCAUGUAGUAUCCUGCGGCGAUCUACUGAUUCCAAGUUGAUGCCCUUCUUCCGUCCAUUCCAGACAUGUUAUGUAGUGUGGGAAAGGGCUCGUAAUUUAUACACUAAUGACAUAUCUCGUUUAUAUGUUGUAAUAUCGCGAAUGACAAGCUUGAAGAAACAGGAAUUGGAUGUCUUACUUGGGACAAGUACAUGCAGUCAUGGAAGAAUUUGAGACGUUGAUGUCAGUUUCUACUAGUGUUGAAAAGCAACAAGAGCAACGACAGAAGAUGUUUCUAGUUCUUACACUCGCUAGACUCCCUAAUGACCUUAAUUCAGUACGUGACCAGAUCUUGGCUAGUCUGACUGUUCCCACAGUUGAUGAAUUAUUCUCUCGCUUACUUCGCCUUGCUGCAGCACCAAGUCACCCAAUUGAAAAUAUUGGUUUAUGUUUAGUCAACAAUGGCAUUGUAAUUGGAAGAGUUGGUGGAAAGAGUUGGUGUGAAUGCUAGGAGGAGGCUUCCUCCUUUGAUGUCACCCAAGACAUCAAGAGAAGGUAGUUUGAUGUCACCAAUGACAUCAAAAGGAGGUCUUUACCUCUAUAGAUAGAUGCACUCCUUCAUUUGUAGAAAUCAUCCCAAAAACAAUACAAUAUAUUGUAGUGAGUAGAGAGUUGAGAGAGAAAUUCUCUUAAGUGUAAUUGGGAAUCUCCCCUUCCUUUGUUAAUAUUAAAAAGGCAAUUGUUCUCUGGUGGACGUAAGAUUAUUUUUAUCUGAACCACGUAAAUCUUGUGUUCUUUCUUUUACGUUUCCGCUAACAAUUGGUAUCAGAGCCAUAGAAUUCUUCAACAAUCCAAGAAGGAAGAACAAGCAAAGAUGAGUUCCAUGAAGUUUGAAAUUGAUAGAUUCAAUUGACGCAACAACUUCAAUAUCUGGAAGAUCCAGAUGAUCGCGUUACUGUGGAGGGAAGGUUCAAUCCAUGCUAUUGACGGAAAGUAUCCUACGGAUAUAUCAGCUCCCGACANNNNNNNNNNNNNNNNNNNNNNNNNNNNNNNNNNNNNNNNNNNNNNNNNNNNNNNNNNNNNNNNNNNNNNNNNNNNNNNNNNNNNNNNNNNNNNNNNNNNNNNNNNNNNNNNNNNNNNNNNNNNNNNNNNNNNNNNNNNNNNNNNNNNNNNNNNNNNNNNNNUGGGUGAUGUGGGAAAAGCUAGAAGGGCUAUACCAACGCCGAUCAGUGACAACAAGAAUGUUGUUACAACGGUAUUUUUACACAUUUAAGAUGGGGUCAGGUACUUCGUUACAAGAUCAUUUAGAUGCAUUCAAUAAACUUGUCAUGGACUUACAGAUUUCAGAAAUUAAAAAGGAGGAGGAGACGCUUGCAUGUGCUUUGCUAUAUUCAUUGACUUCAGGAUAUCGUGAGAUUGAGAAUUCACUGAUGUAUAGCAAGGAGCCUAUCAAGCGUGAGCAAGUGCGGCAGGAACUUAACUCUAGUGAUGUGCGGAGGCACACUGAAGGAGAUAGAGAUGACCUGGCAAGUGGGCUCUUUGUGCGAGGCCGGACUAGCCAACAGGGAAAGAGCAAAUCGAAGCACAUAUCAAAGUCUCGUGUGAACAAGAAAAAUACAGAGUGUUGGGGUUGUAGCAAGAAGGGGCACUUUGAACGAGAUUUCCCAAUGUCAAAGUCCAAGGAAAAGGCAAGCGCAUCUGCAAUUGAACAGGUACAUGAUUUUGAUAAUGAUUAUGUACUAACAACAUCAUGUAAUAAUAAUAGUAGUUAUAGAAACAAAUGGGUGUUAGACUCUACUUGUACUCUGCAUAUGACGUUCUAGACUACAUCCAUUCAGAUUUAUGGGGUCCCUCUAAACUUCCAUCGAAGGGCGGAAGAGGUAUCUUCUCACUUUUAUUGAUGAUUUCUCACGAAAGGUUUGGGUGUAUUUUUUGAAGGCAAAAAGUGAUGCUUUGAAGCAUUUAAAGAGUGGAAGAUUUUGGUUGAAAAUCAAAUGGAGCGGAAAGUCAAGUAUCUUCCAACAGACAAUGGCUUGGAUUUUUGCAAUAAAAAGUUUAAUGAAUUAUGCAAGGUUCAUGGGAUCUCAAUACAUAGGACUGACACAGACAAUGGCUUGGAGUUUUGCAAUGAAGAGUUUAAUGAAUUAUGCAAGGUUCAUAGGAACUCAAGACAUAGGACUGUCAGGCAUACCCCACAGCAGAAUGGUGUUGCCGAGAGAAUGAACAGAACUCUUCUUGAAAAGGCUCGUUGUAUGCUCAUAAAAGCCAAAAUGUCCAAAGUAUUUUGGGCUGAAGCAGUUCACACUGCUUCUCAUAUUGUCCAUCGAUCUCCAGCAUCGGCAAUUGACUUUAAGACUCCAAAUGAGGUAUGGUCAGGUGAACCCUCUAACUAUUCAUAUUUACGAGUAUUUGGGUGUCCAGCUUAUUAUCACAUUAACGAAGGAAAGCUUGAACCAAGGGGCUAAGAAGGCCAUAUUCGUAGGGUAUGUGGAUGGAGUAAAAGGGUACAAACUUUGGUGUUACAUUAAUGAAGGGAAGCUUGAACCAAGGGCUAAAAAGGCCAUAUUCGUAGGGUAUGUGGAUGGAGUAAAAGGAUACAAACUUUGGUGUUUGUCUUUACUCAAAUUAUAGUUAGUAAAGAUGUUACCUUCCAUCAUAUAGGAGCGGGGUGGUCAAAGUGGAGGCUUGCAUCACGAGUCCUGUGUGACAAGAAAGUUCCACAGAAACUCAAGGGAAAAUUUUAUAGAGCUGUGGUUAGACCUGCCAUGUGGUAUGGGACGGAGUGCUGGCCAGUGAAUAACUCUCAUGUUCAGAGAAUGAAGGUUGCGGAGAUGAGGAUGCUCAGGUGGAUGUGCGGGCUCACCAGGUUAGAUAAUAUUAAGAAUGAAGUUAUUCGAGAAGGUGGGGUGGCCCCGAUGGAUGAGAAGAUGCGAGAAGCGAGGCUGAGGUGGUUCGGCCAUGUGCGGAGAAGUCCUGAUGCCCCGGUGAGGAGUUGUGAGCGGCUGGCGAUUGUCGGCGUUCGGCAAGGCAGAGGGAGGCUUAAGAGGGAUUGGGGAGAGGNNNNNNNNNNNNNNNNNNNNNNNNNNNNNNNNNNNNNNNNNNNNNNNNNNNNNNNNNNNNNNNNNNNNNNNNNNNNNNNNNNNNNNNNNNNNNNNNNNNNNNNNNNNNNNNNNNNNNNNNNNNNNNNNNNNNNNNNNNNNNNNNNNNNNNNNNNNNNNNNNNNNNNNNNNNNNNNNUUCGGGUAGGGGUAAGGCUCGUCUACAUAUUACCCUCCCCAGACCCCACUUUGUGGGACUAUACUGGGUAGUUGUUGUUGUUGUUGUAAAGAUGUCACCUUCGAUGAAUCCUCUAUACUUGAUCCCGGUAAAGUUUCCGUGGAGUUUUUCGGAAACAAGAACGACGAGCAGGUGGAGCCUCCGGUGGAGCUUGCCAAGGAAAAGUAUUAAGAGACUCGAGUUAAAGAUGAGUCAGAAGAUGUAGGCCUUGAAGAACUUGCUUUCAAUGAACCAUACACAAUUGUGAAGGGGAGGGAGAAGAGGCAGACACGAGAACCGGAACGGCUUAUAAAUCAAGCAAACCUGAUUGCAUAUGCUAUGGUAUGCACACGUCAAGAUAUUGCUCAAUCAGUAAGUAUGGUAAGCAGAUACAUGUCCAGCCCAGGAAAGGCAUUGGGAAGCUAUCAAGUGGAUAUUGAGAUAUCUCAAAGGAGCUUCUGGUGUUGGUCUGACCUUUCGAAAAAGUGGUGCAGGUAUUUCAAUUCUCGGGAUGUGGAUUCUGACUAUGCAGGAGAUCUUAACAGAAGAAGGUCCAUAACUGGAUACAUCUUUACCCUCGUUGGCAGUGCCAUUAGUUGGAAGUCGACAAUGGUGCAGGUAUUUCAAUUUUCGGUUAUGUGGAUUCUGACUAUGCAGGAGAUCUUGACAGAAGAAGUCCACAACUGGAUAUAUCUUUACCCAUGUUGGCAGUGCCGUUAGUUGGAAGUCAACUCUGCAGUCAAUUGUCGCUUUGUCUACGACAGAAGCAGAAUACAUGGCAGCAGCGGAGGCGGUGAAGGAAGCUAUCUGGUUGAAUAGUUUAGUAGCAGAAAUUGAGUUUGGUUCUGCUGGAAUCAACUAUUAGAUGUGAUAGUCAGAGUGCUAUUCAUCUAAUAAAAAAAUCAGAGAUUUCAUGAGCGCACUAAACACAUUAGUAGCGGAAUUGAGUUUGGUUCAGCUAGAAUCAACUCUUAGAUAUGAUAGUCAGAGUGCUAUUCAUCUAAUGAAAAAUCAGAGAUUUCAUGAGCGCACUAAACACAUUGAUGUUAGAUUUCAUUUUAUUCGAGAUGAUGUUGGAGAGGGAACUAUCAAGGUUGUGAAGGUUAUCACAUACAACAAUGCUGCAGACAUGUUGACCAAGAUAGUCCGCUCGCUAAGUUUGCACACUGCAAGGACUUGGCGGGGUGUGCAUCAACUAAUGCAACUCUGAAGAGAACAAUUGUUAUGUGGAGGUGGUAUGUUCAACAAUGGUUUGAUUCUUCUUGUUUCUUACAACGGGGUUGCCCAGUAAGCUUAGAAGUUUUGGCAAGAGUUGUUCACACGCACGCUCGAAACACAAACCAAGGUGGAGAUUGAAAAUAUUGGUUUAUGUUUAGUCAACAAUGGCAUGCCAAUUGGAAGAGUUGGUGGAAAGAGUUGGCAUGGAGGAAGCUUCCUCCUUUGAUGUCACCCAUGACAUCAAGAGAAGGUAGUUUGAUGUCACCAAUUACAUCAAAAGGAAGUCUUUUACCUCUAUAAAUAGAUGCACCCCUUCAUUUGUAGAAAUCAUCCCAAAAACAAUACAAUACAUUGUAGUGAGUAGAGAGUUAAGAGAGAAAUUCUCUUAAGUGUAAUUGGGAAAUCUCACCUUCCUUUGUAAACAAUAGAAAGGCAAUUGUUCUCUGGUGGACAUAGGACGAAAAUCUCCCCUUCCUUUGUUAAUAUUAAAAGGGCAAUUGUUCACUGGUGGACGUAGGAUUAUUUUGAUACGAACCACGUUAAAUCUUGUAUUCUUUCUUUUACGUUUCCGCUAACAAGUUCAUCAUAGACGCUUGACUCAUUUGUCCUCGUAUCCAGUCAGUGGACAAUUGGGCAUCUCAUACUAUGGAGAAUAGACGAGGAGGCGGUCGUUUUGGAAGAUCUAGACCCAAGUGCUCUUAUUGUCAUAAACUUAGAAACACUCGUGACAUGUGUUAUUCUUUACAUGGUCGUCCACCCAAAAAUGCUUAUGUUGCUCAGACUUAGACUAUAGUUAACUAGGGAUUUUCUUAAUCAGAAGGGGAGUAUAAUGAGUUCAUUCAGUAUCGAGCAAGUAAGCAGAAAUCUCCACAAGUAGCAUCUGUUGCUCAGACUAAUACUUUUGUUGCUAGUAAUUCUUUUGCUUGUGUAUCCUAGUCUAGUACUCUUGGACAAUGGGUUGUGGACUCAGCCGCUUCUGAUAAUAGCUCUGAUAAUAAAUCACCUUUGUCAAAUAUUGCGUAUUCACCGUCUCUAGCCAAUGGCGAGCAUUAGAAUUGUAUGCUAGGGGUAGUCGAGCUUUUUCUAUUUCAUACCGGGGGUAAGGCUAUUUUUAUAGGGUUAUUCUUUGACGCUAGUGGUUAUUAUUGUCUCAAACCAAAGCAAAAGGAGUUGCACAAGCGAAUCCCCUACCCUCUAUCAUUCUAGAUUUCGUUCUCUAUGUCCCUGGCUGUCCUUUUAAUCUUGCAUCUGUUAGUCGUUUGACUCGUGUCCUCCAUUAUGGUAUAUAUUUUAUUGAUGAUUCCUUGAUUAUGCAGGACUGACGAUAGGACUUGAAUCAGAAGACCUUUACUACCUUAACUCACUCAACUCCUCCAAGGCAUGUCUAGUUACAGAUCCUCCGAACCUAGUUCACAGACGUUUAGGACAUCCAAGCUUAUUCAAGCUUGAGAAGAUGGUGCCUAGUUUGUCUAGUUUAUCUACAUUAGAGUAUGAGUCAUGUCAGCUCGGGAAACAUACCCGAGCCUCCUUUCCUCGUAGUAUUGAGAGUGAUGCAGAGUCUGUUUUUUCGUUAGUUCAUUUUGAUAUAUGGAGUCCUAGUAAAGUCAGUUCAACCUUAGGAUUUCGUUAUUUUGUUAGUUUCAUUGAUGAUCAUUCAAGAUGUACUUGGAUUUUCUUAAUGAAAGAUCGUUCUGAGUUGUUUUCCGUUAUUUUGUUAGUUUCAUUGAUGAUCAUUCAAGAUGUACUUGAAUUUUCUUAAUGAAAGAUCGUUUUGAGUAGUUUUCUAUAUUCCAGAAUUUUUGUGCUGAAAUUAAAAAUCAAUUUGGUGUUUCUAUUCGCACUUUUCGCAGAGAUAAUGCCUUAGAUAAUUUAUCCUCUCAAUUUCAGCAGUCUAUGACUUCUCAAGGAAUUAUUCAUCAAACCUCUUGUUCUUAUACUCUUAGCAAAAUGGGGUUGCAGUGAGAAAGAAUAGACACAGCAUUGAGACUGCUCGCACACUUCUCAUUGAAUCUCAUGUUACGUUGUGUUUUAGCGACGAUGCAAUUCUCACAACUUGUUAUUUAGUUAAUCGAAUGUCUUCCUCCCCCAUCCAGAAUCAGAUACCGUAUGCAGUAUUGUUUCCCUCAUCACCCUUAUACUCUAUUCCCUCUCGUGUUUUUGGGAGCACUUGUUUCGUUCAUAACUUAGCCCCUGGAAAGAUAAGUUAGCUCCUCGUGCUCUCAAGUGUGUCUUCCUUGGUUAUUCUCGUGUAUUGGAUUUUCUUAAUGAAAGAUCGUUCUAAGUGGGAAAGAUAAGUUAGCUCCUCGUGCUCUAAAGUGUGUCUUCCUGGGUUAUUCUCGUGUUCAGAAGGGAUAUCGUUGUUACUCACCUGAUCUUCGUAGGUACUUUAUGUCCUCUAAUGUCACAUUUUUUGAGUCUAAACCUUUCUUUACCUCUUCUGAACAUUCUGACCACCUUGAUAUAUAUGAGGUCUUACCUAUACCGAUCUUUAAAGAGUCUACUGUAGCUCCUCCUUCGCCUUCCGCCACAGAAGUCUUACCCGAGUUUACUAUAGCUCCUCCUUCACCUUCCGCUACAAAAGUCUUACCUAUUCCAACCAUUGUGGAGUCUAGUGCAGCUCCUCCUAGACUCCCUGCCAUAGGAACACCACUCUUGACAUAUCAUCGUCAUUCGCACCCAGCAUCAGCCCAGUUGAUUCAUGUCCUGCAUCUGACCCUGCUCCUACUGCAGACUUGUCUCUUCCUAGUACACCGGUUGCACUUUGGAAAGGUAUAUGGACCACCCUUAAUCCUAAUCCCCAUAAUGUUGAUUUGAGUUAUCAUUGUUUGUCAUCACCCUAUUAAGCUUUUCUAUCUUCUUUGUCCUUUGUUUACAUCCUUAAGUCUACAAGUGAAGCAUUGUCUCGUCCAGGAUGGCGACACACUAUGAUUGACGAGAUGUCUGCUUUACAUACGAGUGGUACUUGGGAGCUCGUCACUCUUCCUUNNNNNNNNNNNNNNNNNNNNNNNNNNNNNNNNNNNNNNNNNNNNNNNNNNNNNNNNNNNNNNNNNNNNNNNNNNNNNNNNNNNNNNNNNNNNNNNNNNNNNNNNNNNNNNNNNNNNNNNNNNNNNUCCAGAUGGUAAGGUUGAUCGUCUUAAGGCUCGUCUUGUUGCCAAGGGAUAUACUCAGAUAUUUGGGCUUGAUUACAGUGAUACAUUCUCUCCCGUGGCUAAGAUAGCAUCAGUCCGCCUUUUUCUAUCCAUGGUUUGUUGUUCGCCAUUGGCCCCUCUAUCAGCUGGACAUUAAGAAUGUUUUUUACACUGUGACCUUGAGGAUGAAGUUUAUAUGGAGCAACCACCUGGGUUUGUUGCUCGGGGUGAGUCUCGUGGCACUGAACGUCGCUUGCGCCGAUCACUUUAAGAUCUAAAGUAGUCCCCUCGAGCCUGGUUUGGUAAGUUUAGCACAGUUAUCCAGGAAUUUGGCAUGAUUCGGAGUGAAGCUGAUCACUCUAUGUUCUAUCGGCAUUCUGCUUCGAGUCUCUGUAUUUAUCUGGUGGUCUAUGUUGACGACAUUGUUAUUACCGGCAAUGACCAGGAUGAACGUCGCUUGCGCCGAUCACUUUAAGAUCUAAAGUAGUCCCCUCGAGCCUGGUUUGGUAAGUUUAGCACAGUUAUCCAGGAAUUUGGCAUGAUUCGGAGUGAAGCUGAUCACUAUGUGUUCUAUCGGCAUCCUGCUUCGAGUCUGUAUUUAUCCAGUGGUCUAUGUUGACGACAUUGUUAAUACCGGCAAUAACCAGGAUGGUAUUACUAAAUUGAAGCAACAUCUCUUUCAACACUUUCAGACUAAGGAUCUGGGCACACUGAAGUAUUUUCUGGGUAUUGAGGUCACUCAGUCUAGCUCAGGUAUUGUGAUCUCAUAACGGAAGUAUGCCUUAGAUAUUCUUGAGGAGACAGGAAUGACAGGUUGUAGACGUGUGGACACUUCGAUGGAUCCGAAUUCUAAACUUCUACCAGGACAGGGGGAGCCUCUUAGCGAUCCUGCAAGAUAUAUGCGGUUAGUUGGUAAAUUAAAUUACCUUACAGCAACUAGACUUGACAUUUCCUUUCUUGUGAGUGUCGUGAGUCAGUUUAUAGGUAUUGAGGUUGCUCAGUCUAGCUUAGGUAUUGUGAUCUCAUAACGAAAGUAUGCCUUAGAUAUUCUUGAGGAGACAGGAAUGACAGGUUGUAGACCUGUUGACACUCCGAUGGAUCCGAAUUCUAAACUUCUGCCAGAACAGGGAAGCCUCUUAGCGAUCCUGCAAGAUAGACGGUUUGGUAAAUUAAAUUACCUUACAAUGACAAGAUCUGACAUUUCCUUUCCUGUGAGUGUUGUGAGUCAGUUUAUGGAUUCCACAUGUGAUAGUUAUUGGGAUGCAGUUGUUCGCAUUCUUCGGUACAUAAAAUCAGCUCCAGGCAAAGGUUUAUUGGUUAAGGAUCGAGACCAUGAGCAGAUUGUUGGAUACUCAAAUGCUGAUUGGGCAGGAUCACCUUCUGAUAGACGUUCUACGUCUGGAUAUUGUGUCUUAGUAGAAGAAAAUUUGGUAUUCUGGAAGAGCAAGAAAUAUAAUGUGGUUGCUCGGUCUAGCGCAGAAGCAGAAUAUCGAGCGAUGGCUAUGGCAACAUGAGGAAGAGCAAGAAACAGAAUGUGGUCGCUCGAUCUAGUGUAGAAGUAGAAUAUCGAGCGAUGGCUAUGGCGACAUGUGAGCUAAUUUGGAUCAAACAUUUGCUCAAGAAGUUGAAAUUUAGUGUGAUUAGUCAGAUGGGACUUGUGUGUGAUAAUCAAGCUGCUCUUCAUAUUGCGUUAAAUCCAGUGUUCUAUGAGAGAACUAAACGCAUUGAGAUUGACUGUCACUUUGUCAAGAAAAAGAUACUCUCUGGAAAUAUUGCUACAAAGUUUGUGAAGUUGAAUGAUCAGCUUGCAGAUAUUUUCACCAAGUCCCUCACUGGUCCUCAUAUUAACUACAUAUGUAACAAGCUCGGUACAUAUGAUUUAUAUGCAUCAUCUUGAGGGGAGUGUUAGAAUAGUUAUGUAAAUAAGAGUAAAUAACCCUAAUCCCAUGUGUAUUAGGAGUAGAACAUGUUAAGUAUAUAUAUAGGGCUCAUUGUAUCGUGUUUUACAUAAGAGAAUAAUAUCAAUCAUAUUUUCUCCCAUGCAUUCUCACAAGAAUUAACCAUAUAGACAAGCUGGAGGUCCAUGGGGAACUUAUUACUGAGCCAGAUGGAAUCAAAAGGCAGAUUGUAUCUUUUUACCGGGAGUUAUAUGGAGAAGCUGAAAAUUCGAGGUAUGUUUUCAAUCUUCAAGGUGGAGCUAUUAUUACAGAGGAAGAGAAUGACUGGCUGCAAGAGAAUUUGAAGAACAGGAAGCGCUGGAGAGUGUGAAAUGUGCAGAAGACAAAGCACCUUGUCCUGAUGGUUUUUCAAUGGGUUUCUUCCAUACUUGUUGGGAGAUAGUGAAAGAAGACCUCAUGAACACCAUUAAGAACUUUCAUUGUACUGAGUUAAUUGAGAAGAGCUUCAAUGCUUCCUAUAUAGCUCUUAUUCUCAAAAAGAAUGGUGCAAAGAAACUCAGGGACUUUAGACCUAUAAGUCUAAUAUGAAGUGCUUACAAGAUCGUAUCAAAGUUGUUGACAGAGAGGCUUAAAGAGUGUGGUUGACAAAGUAGUGAAUGGGCAUCAAAUGGCUUUCAAAAGAGGCAGACAGAUAAAGGAUGCUUCAUUGAUUGCAAAUGAAUACGUGGAUUCUAGACUUAAAGGGCAGACCCUGGAAUUUUGUGUAAACUUGAUAUUGAGAUGGCUUACGACCAAGUCAACUGGAACUCUCUCCUAAAAGUUUUAGAGGACAUGAGCUUUGGGAGGAAGUGAAUCAACUGGAUUUCUUCUGCAUCAAAACUGUGAGAUUCUCCUCCUAGUAAAUGGUUUACCUGAGGGUUUCUUUCUUCAGAGAGUGGCCUGAGGAAAGGUGAUUCUUUACCUCCCUUCCUCUUUCUAGUUGCAAUGGAAGAAUUGAACCAAAUAUUAAGGGAUGCCAAAGGCAAUGGUCGGCUGAAGGGAUUUAAAGCUUCAAACAGGGGGGGAAACAACAUAGAGAUCACCCACCUUCUCUAUGCAAAUGAUUCUUUGGUAUUCAGCAAUGCUGAGGCAGAUCAGUUAAAAUACCCAAGGACCAUCCUGGUUAUUUUUGAAGCAUUUUCAGGCUCCAUGUUAACUGGAAAAAGAGCAUGCUUUUUCCAGUCAAAGUGGUUGAAAAUGUUCAGGUGCUAGCAGCUAUUAUAGCAUGUAAGGUGGGCUUUUUACCAACUACUUAUUUGGGAUUAUACUUGGGUUUCAAAUACAAAGCUCAGGAAAUAUGAAUGGGGUAAUUGAAAGAUGUGUAAAGAGGUUGGCAAUCUGGAAGAGGCAAUAUUUAUCCCUAGGAGGAAGAGUAAUAUUGGUGAAAAAGUUUUUAGAUGCAUUGCCUAGAUAUGUGAUGUCCCUGUUUCCUUUACCCUGCAAGGUGAGGAAAAGAAUUGAUACCUUGAGGAGAGAUUUCAUAUGGCAAGGGAACCAAGAUAAAAAAGCUAUUCACUUGGUUAACUGGAAUUCUCUUAUCAACAAAAGAAUCAAUGUAGAUCUGGGUAUCAGAAACCUCAAAGCUCAUAACCAAAGCUUACUUAUGAAGUGGCAAUGAAGGUAUAAUAUGGAGGUUAAUGCCUUGUGGAGAAGGGCCAGUCAUUGGCAACAGUCCUUAUGGGGUUGCCGUUUGGAAGUCUGUCUGCCCUGGAAUUUUAUGGCUGCUCAUUCGACCAUCAAGGUAGGUAAUGGAAGGAAAAAUUUUGGAGUGAGGAUUGGUUAGGACAUGGUCCUUUUAGAGAAUUAUUCCGUAAUCUGUUCAACAUAGCAACAUCAAAAGAAGCAAGGUUAGAUACAACAUGGGGACAGCAAGGAUGGAAUGUUAUUAUCAGGAGGUUUUUGAGUGACUGGGAGCUUGAGAAAGCUUGGAGUUCUACAAGACCUUGAAAGUUUUUCAAGGUUUCAGUGAUUCUGAAGAUACACUGAACUGGAACCUAAACGGGGGAAGAGACCUACACUGUUAAAUCUGUUUAUCUUGUUGCCUCUAAUUCAAACCAGCAUAUAGAACAUUGGUUCCGGAGGAAAAUCUGGAAAGUUAAGAAAUCUCUCAAGGUGGCCUGUUUUUCAUGGUUAAUGGCAAGAGAAGCAUGUCUAACACAAGAUAAAUUGAGGAGUAGCUUCCAUUUAUGCUCUAAAUGCUCACUUUGUGGUACAGCUACAGGAACCAAUAGCCAUUUGUUUCUUUACUGUCCUAUCACUGACCAACUAUGGCAACUUUUUUUCAAUAUUGUAGGAAAUGGAGUAUGCCAGAAAACACUUGUGGUCUAUGGACGUGUUGGAAUUACAAUGGGGGUAGGUGGAGAUUGGUUCAUACUUGCAUCCUAAAAUGGAGUAUGCCAGAAAACACUUGUGAUUUGUUGACAUGUUGGAAUUACAAUGGGGGUAUAGUGAGACAGAAGAAAUGGUGGAGAUUGGUUCAUACUUGCAUAUGGUGGACAGUCUGGAAGGAGAGAAAUUCAAGAAUUUGUGAAGACAGAAGAAACUCCUUACAGAAUAUUAAAAUGAAUUGUUUCAUUUCUGGUGUAAAGAAAGCUUUUGUAGAGGAGGCAGAUCUCAGGAAUACGAAAGCAAGAGAUACCUAAUAAUACAAAUCAACGCCAUUACGGUGGACAUUCAUUACCUAAAGUAUCAGGAACUACUAACCAUGGCACCAACACAAGGAGACAUGAUUCAACAUUACAUCAAAGCCCAAGACAUUUUUAAGCAAGCAUUCAUUUGCAGUGAUGCAGCUUGAAUUCUAGAAUUUGAAAAUAGUCAUAUGAGUUUAGUAGAUCUUCUAACCCACAUGAUGUAAAGUGAUAAUAUUUGUCUUUACGAGUUUUGGCCUACAGGUCUCUCUCUCAGCCACACACACUCUCGAAGUGUUAACAUUUGUCUUUACAAGUUUUGGCCUACAGGUCUCUCUCUCUCAGCCACACAUACUCUCUCUCUUCGUUUCGCUAACGGUAACUCCACAGUUGGCGGCCGAACCUCCUCUCUCAUCCAUCGCUCUCUUCUUCUCUCCCCUCCUUUUCUUUUUCUUUCUUUUUCUUCCAAUCGCUACACGUACUACCGUCACUGCUCGCGACCGUACCACAGUCAAUCCACCCAGUUUCUUUUUCCUCUCUCCCCCUCUUUCACCCUCUUUUAGUUGGGGGGGGGGGNNNNNNNNNNNNNNNNNNNNNNNNNNNNNNNNNNNNNNNNNNNNNNNNNNNNNNNNNNNNNNNNNNNNNNNNNNNNNNNNNNNNNNNNNNNNNNGGGGGGGGGGGGGGGGGGGUCCAUGCUAUCACACCGACGCACAGGGGACAGGGCCGAUCGAUUUCCGUCUCGAUCCAGUAACUCCGGUCAGCUUCCUGACAAUGUCCACUAUUUUAGGCGACUGGAACACCUUCGCAUACAAAACCAGGUUCUACCGUUCCUUUUGCUUUGCUAUAUUGUGCCCCCUAAUACGGUUUUGUGUUCCUUAAUAUCCGUUGGGUUCCAUUUGUUUGUUCCUUGUCGUGUUCUCAAUAUCUAGCCUGCCCUUUAAUAUUGAUUCUUGUGCUCUUCAAAAUCACAUUGUGCUUGCCAGCAUAGUCUUGUUCCUAGUCGCACUUGCCUUGCUUUAACUCUACUAUUGUUGCUUGUUUUAUUGACAUUUUUUAUAUACCCUACUUAGUUUAUACUUGUCGUACUGGAUCUGGUGAGUGUUGGUAGACUAAGGUCAUGUCUUGGGUUGGGGUUGGAGGGAGGCUAAGGAGUGGCAAGUGGGUUAAGGGAGCUUCUAGGCUGAGAGUUGGGUCUUGGAACAUAGGGAAAUUGACGGGAAAGUAUAUAGAGUUGGUAGAUGGGUUUAAGUUGUGGUACUCAGGAGGUUCGAGGAAUAGGAAUGGAGUAGGCAUUCUAGUUGAUAGAGAACUUAGGGGGCAUGUGGUAGAGGUUAGGAGGGUGAACGACAUGAUGAUGAGGAUUGAGUUAGUCAUUGGAGGGCUUACUUUGAGCAUAAUUAGUGCUUAUGCACCUCAAGCGGACUUAGGAGCGGAGGUCAAGAAGCGUAUUUGGGAGGAUUUGGAUGAGGUUGUGAGAGGUAUACCGCAAACUAAGAAACUAUUCAUAUGAGGGAACUUCAAUGGUUACAUAAGGACUACUACAGGGGUUAUGAUGCGGGCCAUAGAGGUUUUGGCUUUUAGGGAUAAAAACGAAGGUGGAGUUUGCCUUUUGGAUUUUGCGGUGACUUUUGAGUUGGUGAUAGCUAAUUCAAGUUUCUCGAAGAGGGAGCACCUAGUAACCUUCCGUAGAUCGGUGGCUUGGACUCAGAUUGAUUACUUACUGCUUAGGAAGGUUGAUAGAGUUCGCUUUAAGGAUAGCAAGGUUAUCCCAAGUAAGAAUCUAACCACCCAACAUAAGCUCUUAGCGAUAGAUUUGAAAAUUAAGAGGAAGAGGCAAAAGAAGGCCUUGUGCAUCAUGCCGAGGAUCAAAUUGGGUGGCUUGACCACUGCCAGAGCUAGGAGUUAGGAGAGAAGUUGAUGGCGAUGGGGCUUGAAGGAGUAGUGGGGAUGCAAACAAUAUGUGGGAGAGGACAGCUAGUUGCAUUAGAGAAGCCACUAGAGAUGUGCUGGGGGACUCGAGGGCUAACGCAUGUGAUCAUCGGGGGGAUUGGUGGUGGAACGUAGAGGCCAAAGAAAAGUGGAAGCCUUACAUGAGGUUAGUGGAAAACAAUGACGGGAAGGAUAAGCGGACACAUAGAGAGAGGUAUAAGGUGGCGAAGUUAGCAGGCACAGCGACAAAAACAGCAGCGUUUCAACGCUUCUAUGAAGAACUUCGGGUCAAAGGUGGGAGAACAAUCAGACAACGUUUCUUUUACUUCGGUUAUUUUAUUUUUUGAUUAUCGUUGUUGCUUCUCCUUACAUAGAUUCUUCUCUUUAAAUGUUUUUUCUUAAGCCAAGGGUCUAUCGGAAACAACCUCUCUACCUUCACAAGGUAGGGGUGAAGUCAUACCCUCAUAAAGCCACACAUGAAUCAUCUCUAAUUGGUGGACAAAACCAGAAUCAAACAGGAAACAAAGAGCUUCAGAAUCAAGAUAAAUGAAGUCACUCAAUAUGCAGCUACAUAAAUUACAACCUACAUGAAAUUACACAAUAAGAGGAACAAACCGCUAUCUCGAACAAGCUCCAGUAGCGAUCGGCAUGUCUCCACGAGGAUAGAAACAUCAGUAGUGUUUGUUGGAUUGAAAAAGAAAAGUAGCUGACAUAGAAAAUCUGAAUCUGGACCGAAACAUUGCCUGAGACACAUGGGCAAAAAAUAAAAUAAAAGGCUAAUCACCAAAAGAUUCUGGAAAAAAACUCAUACAACUUCAUGGGAUAAGCAUCAAGAAAUUAUCAGAGUACCCAAUUACAUGACCCAACGGGGGAAGGAUACAACAUCUAAAGCAAAAUACUCAAGAUAACAUAAAAGCCAUAAAAGCAAACCUGUCAACACGGUGCCAGCGAUCCCCAUAAGUUUUUAAGAAAUUCUCGCGAACUUUAGAACGCUCAGCUUCCACCACCUUUCUACCUCUGAAGCAUUUCUGUAUUUAGUACUUCGACAAGUCAAAACAAAAGAAAGCAACAAGUCCUAGGUGAUUCUAUGAAGAGAGAUUACCAACGCAUAUCCAAAGAAUCUUGAGUCAGAUAAAACAAAAAUAGAAGAGACAGGCACAUAAAGAUAGAGAAAGACCAAGCAUGAACUUGCAAAUAACAUGUCAAGAUGAUCCGUGAAGAAAUACUCUGUCAUUUCUCCCGCUACUAUUGGCAAGGGCAACUAUGGGCCUAAAACUUAAAGGUUGAAACUUGAGCACGUGAGCUUACUAGGGAGAAGUGACAAAACAAGCAUUUGAGGCAUUUGACAAUUUGUCUGGUGAAAGAAAAAGCACUUCAGUAGAUCUAAUCUUUCAUACAAGUGUACAUAUGAGGAAUAGCCUCCUGUUUUUAAUGUCUUGUUGGUGAAGUACUGAAAUUCUUAUUUGUAGAGAAGCCUAGGUAUAUUUGUAUAGAAUCAUAUCUUUACGUAGGUUCUCUACUUUUUGGUAUGUGUCUCCUGGGUGAAAGCCAACUUUUUGGUAUGUAUAUGGAAGCUUUCUCGUUAUCAAUAAAAACAUACUUGAUAAAAAAAAGGAGGAAAUUCCAUCAAUUGUGAUUCCAUACAAUGAUUUUGAAAAGAAUGGACCUUGGGCCUAACUUAACCCCAAAAGCUAGCUUAUGAGGUGAGGAUUGCCCAAGNNNNNNNNNNNNNNNNNNNNNNNNNNNNNNNNNNNNNNNNNNNNNNNNNNNNNNNNNNNNNNNNNNNNNNNNNNNNNNNNNNNNNNNNNNNNNNNNNNNNNNNNNNNNNNNNNNNNNNNNNNNNNNACCAAGGACCUCAAAUCCCUCCGAUGUGGGACAACUCAACACCCCCCUCACGCCCAGAUCUCUGGAGCGUGGACAACAUAAAUGGGGGGCCCAACACACGGUAAUAAUAAUUGGGAUGGGCCUGACUCUGACACCAUGAAAAGAAUGGACAUUGGGCCUAACUCAACCCCCAAAAGCUAGCUUAUGAGGUGAGGAUUGCCCAAACCAUAUAAGGAGACCAAGGACCUCAAAUCCCUCCGAUGUGGGACAACUCAACAGAUUUCAAAUACCGAAUGACACAUUUUGUAAGACGCAUUUAAGAUACAACUAAUUAUGCAGUGGUCUAGAUCUUAGAGCUCCAGCUUUACUACUUCUAAAGCAUACAAACACUAACCAAACCUGAUUACAUAUUGUAUUCUUCUAUCCAUAAUUUUAUGCACAUAUCAUCAAACCAAGAGAGAUCGAUGAAUAAACAAAACGUUAAGAUAAAUAACUGGUAAAGUUGUUGACAUGUGAACAGGAGAUCAUGGGUUCGAGCUAUGGAAACAACCUCUAGCAGAAAUGUAGGGUAAGGCUGCAUACAAUAGAUCAUGUUGAUCCGGUUCUUUCCCGAACACCGCGCAUAGCGGGAGCUUAGUGCAUCGGGCUAUCCUUUAUAGUCCCUCACUUCAGUUUAGCUAGCUUGUAAGGGGAAUUUUCUAACUCAUGCCAACAAAUAAUUUCUUGGUUAACUACUAGAUUUUGGAGCUAAUAUACAAGUUAAAACUCUUCUUUACUACUCCCUCCGUUUCAUAUUAAAUGAGGUACUUUCCUUUUUAAUCUGUUCCAAAAUAAAUGACACAUUUUUAAAUUUGGAAAUAAUUCAACUUAAAACCCUUCAUUUUACCCUUUUUGACCUUAAUGAGAAGCUUUUAAGCCACACAAAUAGCAUGGUCCCACAAACCUUUUACCCCUUAAUCUUUCAAGACCACAAGUUUUAAAAGUCUUCUUUUUUCUUAAACUCCGUACCGAGUCAAACUAUCUCAAACAAUAUGAAACGGAGAGAGUAUCUAAUAUCUACGCAGUGACUAGUUCUUUUUUUUAAAGAGUAUGAAAGGACUAGUCUAUUAGUAUCGAAUCAUCCUUAUCGUUAAUGACAAUCUGAGUAGUGAGCCCAAUGAAGAAGGUAUCAUAAUUGCUCUUCCAGGACGUUCCUUAAGGGCCAAAGAAAGCAUUAGCUUUCAAAAACUUUGGGGUCUGGUACGAAGGUUUUGAGUUGAGUGCAUAGACCUAAGGACAUAGAAUUGCGAGCAAACUGGGAGGUGACCAUGAAGAAGAAAAGCAACAAGUACUUGCAAAAAAGGAGGUUGAACUGAGAAGAGUAGUCUUCAAGGUGAAUUAUGAAAUGAGAAGUAGAGAGAGGGGAAGGAUCCAAGGAAGGAGGGGUAUGCAGUUAAUAUAAAAACCUCCCAACACGCCAAUGAGAAUCAAGACCUAGUAUGGUAGUGAAGGGUGUGAUGAAGAAACCAGAGCAAACUUGAAAUGUUUAAAGGGAGCAAAAUGUUAGAACUAUUGAAUAUAAUAGUUUUGUUAAGUAGUUAGUCAUGUAUAGUGUCCCCCAUCGGGAAAUGAAUACCUAUUAUUAUGUAAUCAUUCUACAUAAAUAGGGCGUUGUAUAACACUUUAGAUAAUCAAUAAUAUUUUCUCCCGUGUUUUCAUACAUGGUACCACAGCUUCGGUAAGAAAAGAUCGUUGUGUGUCAUUCCAGCUACAUCCGGGAAUAAAGAACUCAGUCACCGUGCAAUUUUCUGGUGACCUAAGUGACUGCUUGCGUCAAAAUCACUAUUUAUCAAUGUUGGGAACAAACCAACACCACCACAAGGUCCGUCGUAGUCCCGCCACCAAACCCAAGAAAAUCCCACCUGAAAACUCAUACACAUGCGCCCUCACGCGCCGGGCAGACUCCAAACUUUCUGGCAAGAUUUGUGCACGCGUUGGGCGCGUGAGACCCCUUAUAGCCAAAUUUCGACAAGCUUCCUUCAGGAAAGCUUACUCGCACAGCAAUUCCGAGUUGACCAGUGCUAUCCCCAACAAAUCCCGACAACUUUGGAAUUUUCCGACGAGCUACAGUGUUCUCCGGCAUGAACGGUGUUCUCCGGCGUGAACAGUGUUUCCAGCGUAAAAUAGUGUUCUGUUUUUCUUCUGUGAACAGUAUUUUCCUGGCUGUUUCUUCAGUUUUCCUAUAGGAGUUACUGAUUUCCACUAUUUCAAGUUAACCCUACUACUUUUAAUCAAGAUUUUGAGAGAUAAAUUGUAGCGAAAUGGGAUCCAAUAGUAUGAAUUGUUGGAUAGUUUCUCUAUCGGAUUAUAUUGAGUUCCUUCAGUACAAAGUAUGUAAAUAGACAUCUUUAGGGAUAGCUUCCAUUCAAACAUAUAGUAGCGUGACUUGUGUCUCCCAAUCUUCAACCUCCGAGUCUUGGAUCAUUGAUUCAGGUGCAUCUGAUCAUAUUUCUGGUAACAAAUCUCUUUUCAAUACUAUUUCAUGCUCUCAAUCUCUCCCAACAGUCACCAUGGCCAACGGGUCUCAAACGACGGCAAUUGGAAUAGGUCAAGCAAGUCCACUUCCUUCCUUAACUUUAGAUUAAGUUCUUUAUGUUCUAGGUAGUCCUUUUAAUCUCAUAGUUGUUAGUCGUUUAGCCAAAUCACUUAAAUGCUCUGUUUUCUUUCUUGUUGACCUUGUUACAGGAACGCAGUACAGGGUGGAUCAUUGGUACCAGGCAUGAAUCAGAUGGACUUUAUUACCUUAUCCUUGCAAAAUCACAUGGACUCACAUCUUGUCUCCUUCAACAACUAGUCUUGUUACCGAUUCACCAGAUAUAUCACAUAAACGGUUGGGACAUCCCGAUUUUUCAAAACAUCAAAAAAUGGUACCUAGUUUAUCUCACUUGUCUACUCUAGAAUGUGAGUCACGUCAGCUCGGUAAGCAUACCCGCUCCCAUUUCCCCCGACGUCUUGAUAAUCGAGCAAUCACCUUUUACUUUAGUCCAUUCAGAUGUUUGGGGUCCUGGUCGGACCAGUUCUACCUUGGGAUUAUGCUAUUUUGUCAGUUUCAUUGAUGAUUAUUCCGCACUAGGAUAUUUUUUAUGAAAGAUCAAUCUGAAUUGUUUUCUAUUUUCCCGACCUUCCACACUGAAAUUCAUAAUCAAUUUGGGGUUUCUAUCCGCACAUUUUGUAGUGAUAAUGCCCUAGAGUAUUUGUCGUUUCUAUUUCAGCAGUUUAUGAACUCUCAUGGGAUUAUUCAUCAAACAUCUUUUCCGUACACAUCUCAACAAAAUGGAGUAGCUGAAAGAAAGAAUAGACAUCUUAUUGAAAUAACUCGUACCCUACUCAUACAAUCUCAUGUUCUGUUACGUUUUUGGGGAUACAGUUCUUACAUCUUGCUAUCUUAUUAAUCGUAUGCCAUCUUUAGCUAUCUAGAAUCAAGAUCCAUUUUCUGUCCUAUUUCCCCACUUACCUUUGUUCUCUUUUCCACUCCGUGUCUUUGGAAGCACGUGUUUUGUUCAUAACCUUACUCCAAGAAAAGAUUAGUUAGCUCCUCGGGCUCUUAAAUGCGUAUUUAUCGUUUACUCGAGAACAUAAAAGGUGUAUCGAUGCUAUUCUCCUGACAUCCAACGGUACCUUAUGUCUUCUGAUGUUACCUUCUUUAAAACUCAAUCAUACUUCACAGGUCCAGGUAAUCACUUAGAUAUUUCUGAGGUGCUACCAGUUUCAUCCUUUGGAUAUUCAGUCACUAUCUCCCAUUAAUCUUCCUCUACAACUCCAGCUCCACCACCUACAGCUUCAGUUGCAGCUCCAACACCUAUAGCUCCAAUCCCACCACCUAUAGCUCAAGUUCCACCACUUAGUCCAGUUCAACCUUCUGCAGCUCCACCACUCUUGAUUUAUCAUCGUCGUCCACGUCCAGCAUCAUGCCCAGGUGAUUCACGCCCUCAUCAAAUUCUGCACCUACUGCGGACUUGUCUCCUCUUAGCCAACCAAUUGCACUCCGCAACAAUCCACAUUUAAUCCAAAUCCUCAUUAUGUCGGUUUAAGUUACAUCGUCUGUCAUCACCGCAUUAUGCUUUUAUAUCAUCUUUGUCCAUUGUUCCAUCCCUAAGCCUACAGGUGAGGCAAUAUCUCAUCCGGGAUGGUGACAAACUAUGAUUGACCAGAUGUCUGCUUUACAUGCGAGUGGGAGUUGGGAGCUUGUUCCUCUUCCUUCAAGUAAGUCUACUGUCGGUUGUCGUUGGGUUUAUGCAAUCAAAGUCGGCUUAGAUGGUUAGGUUGAUCGUCUUAAGACUUAUCUUGUUGCAAAAGGAUAUACUCAGAUUUUUUGGCUUGAUUAUACAACAACAACAACAACUACCCAGUAUACUCCCACCAGGUGGGGUCUGGGGAGAGUAAUAUGNNNNNNNNNNNNNNNNNNNNNNNNNNNNNNNNNNNNNNNNNNNNNNNNNNNNNNNNNNNNNNNNNNNNNNNNNNNNNNNNNNNNNNNNNNNNNNNNNNNNNNNNNNNNNNNNNNNNNNNNNNNNNNNNNNNNNNNNNNNNNNNNNNNNNNNNNNNNNNNNNNNNNNNNNNNNNNNNNNNNNNNNNNNNNNNNNNNNNNNNNNNNNNNNNNNNNNNNNNNNNNNNNNNNNNNNNNNNNNNNNNNNNNNNNNNNNNNNNNNNNNNNNNNNNNNNNNNNNNNNNNNNNNNNNNNNNNNNNNNNNNNNNNNNNNNNNNNNNNNNNNNNNNNNNNNNNNNNNNNNNNNNNNNNNNNNNNNNNNNNNNNNNNNNNNNNNNNNNNNNNNNNNNNNNNNNNNNNNNNNNNNNNNNNNNNNNNNNNNNNNNNNNNNNNNNNNNNNNNNNNNNNNNNNNNNNNNNNNNNNNNNNNNNNNNNNNNNNNNNNNNNNNNNNNNNNNNNNNNNNNNNNNNNNNNNNNNNNNNNNNNNNNNNNNNNNNNNNNNNNNNNNNNNNNNNNNNNNNNNNNNNNNNNNNNNNNNNNNNNNNNNNNNNNNNNNNNNNNNNNNNNNNNNNNNNNNNNNNNNNNNNNNNNNNNNNNNNNNNNNNNNNNNNNNNNNNNNNNNNNNNNNNNNNNNNNNNNNNNNNNNNNNNNNNNNNNNNNNNNNNNNNNNNNNNNNNNNNNNNNNNNNNNNNNNNNNNNNNNNNNNNNNNNNNNNNNNNNNNNNNNNNNNNNNNNNNNNNNNNNNNNNNNNNNNNNNNNNNNNNNNNNNNNNNNNNNNNNNNNNNNNNNNNNNNNNNNNNNNNNNNNNNNNNNNNNNNNNNNNNNNNNNNNNNNNNNNNNNNNNNNNNNNNNNNNNNNNNNNNNNNNNNNNNNNNNNNNNNNNNNNNNNNNNNNNNNNNNNNNNNNNNNNNNNNNNNNNNNNNNNNNNNNNNNNNNNNNNNNNNNNNNNNNNNNNNNNNNNNNNNNNNNNNNNNNNNNNNNNNNNNNNNNNNNNNNNNNNNNNNNNNNNNNNNNNNNNNNNNNNNNNNNNNNNNNNNNNNNNNNNNNNNNNNNNNNNNNNNNNNNNNNNNNNNNNNNNNNNNNNNNNNNNNNNNNNNNNNNNNNNNNNNNNNNNNNNNNNNNNNNNNNNNNNNNNNNNNNNNNNNNNNNNNNNNNNNNNNNNNNNNNNNNNNNNNNNNNNNNNNNNNNNNNNNNNNNNNNNNNNNNNNNNNNNNNNNNNNNNNNNNNNNNNNNNNNNNNNNNNNNNNNNNNNNNNNNNNNNNNNNNNNNNNNNNNNNNNNNNNNNNNNNNNNNNNNNNNNNNNNNNNNNNNNNNNNNNNNNNNNNNNNNNNNNNNNNNNNNNNNNNNNNNNNNNNNNNNNNNNNNNNNNNNNNNNNNNNNNNNNNNNNNNNNNNNNNNNNNNNNNNNNNNNNNNNNNNNNNNNNNNNNNNNNNNNNNNNNNNNNNNNNNNNNNNNNNNNNNNNNNNNNNNNNNNNNNNNNNNNNNNNNNNNNNNNNNNNNUAAGGCGAACAACAUGGGACUCAGCGCCGAUCCUUGAUGGAGCCCCAUUACCACAGGAAAAUGGUCUGAAUCGCCACCCACCGUCCUCACCCUAGUCAUAGCCCCAUCGUACAAGUCCUUGAUAACUCUGAUAUAGGCUUCUGGCACACUUUGGCUUGAUUAUAGUGACACUUUAUCUCCCGUGCCUAAAGUAGCAUUUGUUCGUCUCUUUUUGUCCAUGAUUGUUGUAUUUAUAUGUCAUUGGCCUCUUUAUCAGUUAGACAUUAAGAAUGUUUUUCUCCAUGGUGAUCUUGAGGAAGAAGUUUAUAUGGAGCAACCACCUAGUUUUGUUGCUCAGGAGGAGUCUAGUGUCUUGUAUGCCGAUUGCGCCGGUCACUAUAUGGUUUGAAAUAGUCCCCUCGAGCUUGAUUUGGUAAGUUCAACACAAUUAUUUAGGAGUUUGGCAUGACUCGUGGUGAAACUGAUCACUCUGUGUUUUAUUGCCAUUCUGCUCCAAAUCUGUGUAUUUGUAUAAUGGUUUAUGUUGAUAUUGUUAUUACUUGCAAUGAUUAGGAUGGUAUUACUAAUCUGAAACAGCAACUCUUUCAGCACUUCCAGACUAAGGAUCUGGGCAGGUUGAAGUAUUUUCUAAACAUUGAGGUCGCUUACUCUAGCUCAGGUAUGUUAUUUCACAGCGGAAGUAUGUGUAUUUAUAUAGUGGUUUAUGCUGAUGAUAUUGUUAUUACUGGCAAUAAUUACGAUGGCAUUACUAAUCUGAAGCAGCAUCUCUUUCAACACUUCCAGACUAAGGAUCUGGGCAGGUUGAAGUAUUUUCUAAACAUUUAGGUCGCUUACUCUAGCUCAGGUAUUGUUAUUUCACAUCGGAAGUAUGCCUUAGACAUUCUUGAGGAGACUAGAAUGAUGGGUUGCUAACCUGUUGACACUCAUAUGGAUCUGAAUGCUAAGCUUCUGAUCGGACAGGGGGAGCCUUUUAGAGAUCCUACGAGGUAUAGGAGACUGGUAGGCAAAUUGAAUUACCUCACAGUGACUAGACCUGACAUUUAGACAUUUCGAGAACGCUACAGAGAUAUUAAUGCCAUUCAACUAACCUCCCGCAACGCCUUAUGUCUGCUACUAUUACCUUUUUCGAAACGCAGCCAUACUUCAAAGGCCUAGGUGAUCAUUUAGACAUAUAUGAGGUGCUACCGGUUCUAUCUUUUGGAGAUUCAGUCACAAUUUUCCCAUCAUCUUCCUCCACGGCUCCAUCACCUACAACUCCAACUCUAGCUCCAGCUACUCCACCUAUAGCUCCCCCUACAUGCUCAACCAUAGAAGCAUUACCUAUACCAACCAUAGAGGAAUCUAGUGUUGCUCCUCCUGUAUUCCUAGCCACAUGAACACCACUCUUGACUUAUCAUCAUCGUCUGCACCCAGCAUCAUGCCUAGUUGAUUCGCGUCCCGCACUUGACUAUACUUCUACUGCAUAUUUGCCACAUCCUAGUCCACUGAAUGCGCUUGGAAAAGGUAUACGGUCCACACUUAAUCCUAAUGCCUAUUAUGUCAGUUUAAGUUAUCAUCGUAUUUCAUUACCCCAUUAUGCGUUUGUAUCAUCUUUGUUCUUUGUUUCCAUCCCUAUGUCUACAAGUGAAGCAUUGUCUCAUCCAGGAUCGCGACAAGCUAUGAUUGACGAGGCAUCUACUUUACAUACGAGUGAUAGCUGAGAGCUUGUUCCUCUUCCAUUAGGAAAAUCUAUUGUUGGUUCUCGUUGGGCGUAUGCAGUCAAAGUUGGUCCAGAUGGCAAGUUUGAUCGACUUAAGGCUCGUCUUGUUGACAAAGUGUAUACUCAGAUAUUUUGACUCGAUUACAGUGAUACUUCCUCUCCCGUAGCUAAAAUAGCAUUAGUCCGCCUUUUUCUACCCAUGGUUGUUUGCCAUUACCCUCCCUAUCAAUUGCACAUUAAGAAUAUUUUUCUUCAUAGUGACCUUGAGGAUGAAGUUUAUAUGGAGCAACCACCUGGUUUUAUUGCUCAGGCGGAGUCUAGCGGCUAAGUAUGUCGGUCGCAUCGGUCACUCUAAGGUCUGAACCAGUCUCCGCGAGCUUGGUUUGGUAAGUUGAGCGGAAUUAUUCAAGAGUUUGGCAUGACUCGUAGUGAAGCUGAUCACUCUGUGUUUUAUCGGUAUUCCGCUUCAAAUCUCUGUAUUUAUUUGGUGGUUUAUGUUGACGAUAUUGUUAUUACCGGCAAUGCUCAUGAUAGUAUUACUAAGUUGAAGCAACAUCUCUUUCAGCACUUUCAGACUAAGGAUUUGGGCAGAUUAAAGUAUUCUCUAAGUAUUGAAGUCGCUCAAUCCAGCUUAGGUAUUGUGAUCUCACAACGGAAGUAUGCCUUAAACAUUCUUGAGGAGACAAGAAUAACAGGUCUACAACCUAUUGACAAUCUUAUGGAUGUGAAUUCAAAGCUUCUGCCAGGACAAAGGGAGCUGCUUAGCGAUCCUGCAAGAUAUAGGCGAUUGGUUGUUAAAUUUGACUAGACCUGACAUUACCUUUCCUGUGAGUGUUGAGUCAGUUUAUAGAUUCUCAUUGGGAUGUAGAUGCUCGCAUUCUUUGGCAUAUAAAAUCAGCUCCAUGCAAAGGAUUAUUGUUUGAGGAUCGAUGCCAUCAGCAGAUCGUUGGAUACUCAGAUGCUGAUUGGGCAGGAUCACCUUCUGAAAGGCAGUCGUAGACUGGACAUUUUGUUUUAGUAGGAUGUAAUUCGAUGUCCUGGAAGAGUAAGAAACAAAAUGUAGUUGCUCGAUAUAGUGCAGAAGCAGAAUAUCGAGCAAUGGCUAUGGCAACAUGUGAGCUAACUUGGAUCAAACAGUUGCUCAAGAAGUUGACAUUUGGUGAGAUCAGCCAAAUAGAACUUGUGUGAUAAUCAAGUUGUCUUUCAUAUUGCAUCGAAUAUAAAGUUCCAUGAGAAAACUAAACACAUUGAGAUUGACUAUCACUUCGUCAGAAAAAGGAUACUCUCAGGAAAUAUUGCUACAAAGUUUGUGAAGUCGAAUGAUCAGGUUGCAGAUAUUUUCACCAAGUCCUCACGGAUCCUCAUUUUAGUUACAUAUGUAACAAGCUCGGUACAUAUGAUUUGUAUGCACCGGCUUGACAGAGAAUGUUAGAUAGUUAUGUAAUUAAUAUAUAGUUAGUCCGAGUCCCACAUUGAAUAGGAAUAGGAUAUGUAUAGUUAUAAUAAGGCUCAUUGUAUUAUAAUUAAUACAUCAAUAAUAUUGUCUCGUGCUUUCGCACCUAAACGAUUGAAUUGUUGCCGGAAAUCCUCAAUCUUCAUUUCUAGAGUAAGGUCAUCCAUCAUGAUUUAUAGAAUUGUUUUCACUUUUUUCGACAGAAGUGAAAGAAAUCUCAUGUCUCUACUAUAAUUCCAUAUUAUUAUGAAAGCACUUUGCAAGUUGUUCCAAAAACAUAUGGCACGAAUUUUUAAAAUAAUUUCCGAGUGGGAGAAAACAUAUUUGUUUUGCAACUCUUGUUUGCGUACAACACCUAGCUUGAUGCUGCAAAUAUAUGAUAGAUCUGAUUUCAAGAUCUUGGUGUAAAUUGAAGCAAUUAACUAAGCAUCAAUGUAAGAAAGUUUGAAUCGAUUCCAGCUGGUUGGCUAAAAUUGUCCAACAAUCUCGCGGAACUACGCGGCUGUUAUAUGGCUACUUUACCUUGAAUAUACUUAGAGAUCCCUUUACGAGACUAGUUAACCUAGCGAUGAUAAAGUCAUAGAGAGACAUAACAAAAGGUGGAAAGGAUGGCAAAGGCCAUACUUGCGAUAAGGAGGCAAAGUAACUCGUAUGAAGUCUAUCUUAUCCAACAUUGCCAAAAGUUAUAUGCUUUGGUUCUCAAUCGCAUCUUCAGUCACUUUGGAAUGAGAGAAGUCAAUGAGGGAAUUUCUUCGAGAAGAAGAGGGAUGAACAUCAACUUAGUAGUUAGUUGGAUAGAAGAAGGUAUGGCUCAUAUUGCCUCUGGCAGGUCUGUAACUGUUAGUUUCUAAUUUUUAAACAAGCCCUCUUACGUAAAUUUAUGAGGAGAUUUGUGAAUCAAAAAUGGGUUGGAUGGAGUAGAAUUAUCGCAACGAAAUGUGGAUGCAUUGGGCACUAGUUAUCAGGUAAUUAGAAAAUGUUUAAUUGCAAAGGAGCUAGACAAAGUUAAACAAGUUGAACCCCAGGGGUUGACCUACUGGCAAUUGACUUGAGCCUUGGGGUUUGCUCCCUUUCAAGGUCUCAAGUUCGAAAUCUACUGCGUGCAAACAAUUUCUGAGGGCCAUCGGACUGGGUAAAACCUGAAUUAACCGUGGUGCACUUGCGGGAAACUCCUUGUCCAGGGCAUGUGCACCCACGGGAUUAGUCGGGACUCUAAGAGACUCGGACACCCGGUGAAAAUCAAAAAAAAAGUUAAAGAAGUUGGCCCAAUGAACAUUCAAGAUGAAGAGACAGAAGGAACAAACAUAUCAAGAAGAUUAUAAAAAAAAAAUUAAAGUGACAAUAAAGACCCAAGAACAUAUAUAAAAUAAAAAUUGAAAAGAAUCAAUGAAAUAACACUAUCUAAAUAUUAUAAGCUCCAACUUUUCUUUUGUGCCUAAAUUAUAAUUUUAUUUUAAACAAGAAGCAACUUAUGCAGCAUAAUAUUUAAUUUAAUUCAUAAUUUUUACUCGAUUUAUAUUUUUUUGCUCAUGUUCUAGCCUGGGGAUUAUUUUAAAAAGAACAUAAUAAUUUUUUAUUAACGUAUAAACACGUGCAACGCACGUACACUUAAAUUAGGUACACCAAAAAUCACAAGAGACAAAAGACUAUACUGCAAUUUAGCAAAAUGGUUGACAAACCCAAGGGCAAAGCCGGGGNNNNNNNNNNNNNNNNNNNNNNNNNNNNNNNNNNNNNNNNNNNNNNNNNNNNNNNNNNNNNNNNNNNNNNNNNNNNNNNNNNNNNNNNNNNNNNNNNNNNNNNNNNNNNNNNNNNNNNNNNNNNNNNNNNNNNNNNNNNNNNNNNNNNNNNNNNNNNNNNNNNNNNNNNNNNNNNNNNNNNNNNNNNNNNNNNNNNNNNNNNNNNNNNNNNNNNNNNNNNNNNNNNNNNNNNNNNNNNNNNNNNNNNNNNNNNNNNNNNNGGAGGGGAUUUAUCUUCACAAUCUUGUUCGACCCUUCGAACACCCUUCUAUUCAUCGCUUUCCAAAUAAAUCACAUGAUAGCUAAAGGGAAAUGCUUCAUGCCCGAGGACUUUUCCUCCACCUCAUGAGCGCCUAACUAUGCAGCGCCUCCCUCACAGAGCCCGAAAACCCAAUGUACCCCAAAUAAGACGAGGAACACCCUCCAUAAGCGAGUAGCCACUCAUAAAAUAUAGUAAGAGAUGAUUGACGUCUUCACCCGAACUUUUGCACCUAAAGCACCAGCUUACAUAGGUAAACUUCCUUUUCCAUACAUUUUUUGCUGUUAUUUUUAUCUAUAGGGAAUAAGUGAACACUAUCUCACAUCUUUAUUCAUCUUUUUUUCUUUCUGCUAAUUGUAUAAGCGAAAGGAGUACAAUUAUUAAAAGUAUUAGAGGGAUGGAAUGUAUUCACAAAAAACAUUCAUAUUUUAACAAGGGCCGGUGAAAGGUAGUCAUAAUCGCUAGUUACUCCAUAGGUGGAUUCUUGACUCAACUCAUUUAUCUCUCUAAUUAUAAUUGUUUGUUCCAAGUGUGUUAGUUAGCUCUUCAUUUAGUAAUCAAGAUCAUCUUUCCACAAAUUAUGGUAUUCUCAAACAGUAAUCAAGCAACGAUAAAUAGUAGAAAUAUUCAAAUCCUCGUGGGUUCAACAAUCUGUUAUACUAUCUUUGACAAGCACAAGUUUUGAUUUUUAUACACUGAUUUAUGCUCAUCAGGGAGUCAACCUAAAAGAAACAUUCCUUUCCUUAAAUGUAUUUGCAAAUGACAAAAAGAUGUAACGACGUCCGACUUACUUAGAUAGAAAGCACGCGAAAUUUUAGGAUAUAACCUCCAUGAGACCUAUAUAGGAUUAGCAAUAGGAAGAAGUGGAGCAUCUUCUUCAAAACAUUUCUAGCCAUAGAAUCGAAAAGGUAAGGUGAUGAGACGAGAGCAUGAGUAAAAUGCCGAAAGCAUAAGAAUCUUAAUGUAAAUAUCUAAACAAAAGGAAAAAAUGCAAACUUUAAGGUCGCAUCUUUUGAUUUGUGGGUUAGGCACGUCACAGAUUUGAACCCUGGCACAGACAAAAGCUUGAUAUUUAAGUGGAGAGGGAUAUAGGGAUGGGCCCAUCAUCCCCGAGUUUCAAACUAUGCACCAUUUUCCUUCGAGGAUUUCUCUAUUAUUUAAAAAAGCGGACCGAAGCCCCUUAAAGAUAGCCUUCUUUGCAUGGUCUGCUACUUAGGAUGUUAUUCUCAAAGCGCACAGUUUGAGAAAUAAGGGAUGCGUAAUAGGACAACAGUGUUAUAUGCAUAAUAGUCUCUCUCUUUCAUUCGUUCUUUGGGUUUAACGACAGCCCUAACUUCUCGUUCUCUGACAACUCCCUAGCAAAACCACGCCGGAGAUAUAGGUGAGUCAUCUCCUUUUCUCUUUCUCAUCUUCUUAUCCUCCUCUCUUCUUCAACCCUUCUGCUCUGUCUCUCCUCCCCCCUCUCUCUCCCUUCGCCCUACAUCUUCUUCUCUUUUCUUUCUUUAUUUUCUUUUCCUUUCUUCUUUGAAUCUUUCCCUACCUGUCCUAGUCCAGCCGAAACCUAUCCACCUGCACCCCCCUCAUUUUCCCCUCUUUUUCGUUCUUUUCUGUAGGUUCACCGGUGGCCUGUUUCUGGCAACAAAGGACAGCUCCAACAAGGACAAUGAAGGUGUGUGUGACGCUAGGAACUGGUUCUACAACAACACCUCGACUCCAAGAGGCGCUAAAGCAAGCUUCAGUAGCAGGCCCCACUGAAACAAAGUUCAAUAUGGGCGGAGGCAGCGGCUAGAAAUCCUCCGAUACGUUCCAGGUUCUAUCUUUCUGCCUUUAUAUAUUGUGAUUUAUUCUGUAUCCUUUUGUCAUAAUAUAUUUUGAUUUUAAUCUAUAUCUCUCUCUCUCUUUAUAUAUUUUGAUCUAUUAUGUAUCGUUCUUUGUCUUUGCCGGUUACUACACAUUCACUUGCAUCAAUUACUUGCUUUUCUGUAGUUGCUUUCUACUAGUGCCUUAAGGUGCAAUAGUUACCUUGUUGCGUGUUAUAGUAGUACUAGCUUAGUAUCCCUUAGAUUAUUGUGGCUAGGGCGAGGUAUGGUAGAGUGAGGUCAUGUCCUUGGGUGGGCAGGGGGCGAGGGACAAGGGUGGUGAGGGAACCGCCAGGCUGAGGAUUGGGUCCUAGAAUAUAUGGACAUUGACGGGGAAGUCUUGAGAGUUAGGGAAGAUUCUCCAGAAAAGGAAGAUUAAUAUAGCGUGUGUCCAGGAGACUAGAUGGGUGGGUACUAGAGCACGGGAAGUUAAUAGGUUUAAAUUGUGGUAUUCAGGAGUUGCUAGGGGCAAGAAUGGGGUAGGUUUUUUAGUUGAUAGGGAUCUCAGGGAGCUAGUGGCAGAUGUUAGGAGAGUGAAUGAUAGGCUGAUGACUAUUAAGCUAGUGGUUGGUAUGUUCACUUUAAACGUGAUUAGUACAUACGCGCCUUAAGCGGACUUGGACAAGGAGGUCAAUAGGCAAUUCUGGGAGAAUUUAGACGAGGUGUCCCGCUUACCGAGAAGCUUUUCAUAGGAGGUGAUUUAAAUGGCCAUAUUGGGGAGACUGCUAGGGGCUAUGACGAUGUGCAUGGCGGUUCGGCUAGAGGCUAUGAUUUUAGUGUGGUCACUUCUUGUUUAGUGUUUCUUUAGCCAAGGGUCUAUAGGAAAUAGCCUCUCUAAAUUCACAAGGUAGGGGUAGGUCUGUGUACAGACUACCCUCCCCAAAUCCCAAUUGUGGGAUUAUACUCGGUUUGUUGUUGUUGGUGUUGUAUGUGCAAGAAGGGGAGAAACAGCAUUGGUCACUUGCUCCACAAUUCUAAGUUCGCGUCAAGAAUAUGGAUUUUGUUUACUGCUUGUUUAACGCUCUGUGGUGCCUCCGGAAUAACGUCUCUUGGGUGCCUUCCGAACAAGUUGGGGCGACCGUCAAGAUUUGGAGGUGAAUAAAUGGGGAAAGAGAAAAAGAAAGUGCAAAAAGUAGCCUCCUGAAGUAUAUUAUAAAUGAUUCAGGGAUUGCGAAAAGGAGUUGAAAAUUUCGCAUAGAAGAUCAAGAAUAUUCCCUCUAGUUGGCAGCCAUCAAUACCAGACCCCACCUGGUGGGAGUAUACUGGGUAGUUGUUGUUGUUGUUGUUGGCAGCCAUCAAUACACAAUUGAAUUAACACUCUGUUAAUCCUAAGAAGACCACAACUGGUCUAAAAGAACAGUCAAUUGAAUGACUACGGCUCAAUACAAAAUGAAUACAAAACUUUUGAUUGGUAAGUAAAUAUUAUUACUACAAGGAAAACCACAUAGGAAGUGCUUAAGUGCAAUAGUAUGUACAUAAACAGUCCAUGUCAAAAUAGAAUUCCAAACAAAGAAGCUAUUAAAUUGCUAACGACAUAAACAUCUUUCAGUUUAUAAUAGAAAGCUAACAGCGGUAAGCAUUUAAGUUUUUAAUUAUGUGUAGAUUGAGUAAUUCCUUUGAAUGUCUUCGGUCCCUUUUUUUUCCAAAAUACACACGAGACACGUGCUAGGAUUUCGCACUAAAUCACUGUGACAUCCUUUUUCAGUCCACACAAAGACCAGCAACAUAGUAGAUCCUUGACUACAGCAACCAUCAUCAGAUGCCAAAAGUACUAAAAAUGAAUUGACAAAAUCAAUGCCAAAAUAACUUGCAUCACAUUUAUGGAACCUUCAUAUAGAGUCCAUUCCGUUCAGGUUAAUUUCAUUCCAAUGAGAAGCAACAUAUAAUUUAAAGGCAAAUGACUAUGUUCCAAAAAUAAAAGACUCGUUAAAUUUUGUAUCUAUGCAACAUGAAACGGUGCUAACGUGAGGUUAGAGGUGUGGAGGCAGACCCCGGAGUCUAAAGGUUUCAAGUUAAACAGAACCAAGACAGAAUACUUAGAGUGUAAGUUCAGUGGUAUGACUCACGGGGGUGGAAGGGGAAAUAAGGCUGGAUUUACAAGUUAGGAGAGGAAGUUUUUAGUAUCUUGGGUCUAUUAUACAAGGGGAUGAGGAGAUUGACGAAGAUGUCACACAUCGUAUUGGGGCGGGAUGAUGAAAUUGAGAGAAGGUGUCACCAAAGCUUAAAAGUAAGUUCUACAAAGUGGUGGCCAAAUUGACGAGUGUUGACCAGUUAAGCCUCAUGUCAAGAUGAAGAUAGCAGAGUGAGAAUGUUGAGAUGGACGUGCGGUCACACCAGGUUAGAUAGGAUCAGGAAUGAAGUUAUUCGGGACAAGGUGGGUGUUGCCCCUAUUGAGGACAAGAUGCGGGAAGUGAGGCUUAGAUGAUUUGGACAUAUGAGGAGGAGAAGCACAGGCGCCCCGAUAAGAAUAUGCGAGAGGUUGACAUUGGAGGGCCCAAGGAAAGGUAGAGUUAGGCUGAAGAAGAAAUUGACGUGUGGAGGCAGACCCUAGAGUCUAAAGGUUUCAAAUUAAACAGGACUAACACAAAAUACUUAGAGUGUAAAUUCAGUGACACAAAUCAAGGAGUGGAAGGGGAGAUAAGGUUGGAUUUACAAGUCAUCCCUAGGAGAGGAAGUUUUAAGCACAUUGGUCUAUUAUACAUUGGAUGGGGAGAUUGACAACGAUGUCACACAUCAUAUUGGGGCGGGAUGGAUAAAACUGAGACUUGAUUUUGGUAUUUUGUUGACAAGAAGGUGCCACCAAAGCUUAAAGGUAAAUUCUACAGAAUAGUGGUCAAACCGAUGAGUAUUGGCCAAUCAAAAGCUCUCAUGUCUAGAAGAUGAAGGUAGCAAAGAUGAGAAUGUUGAGAUAGAUGUGCGAGCACACCAGUGUUUUGGAUAGCAGCGCGGCGACAAAUAGCGACAAGGGCUCGCUUCAGUGAGGGGAGAGGCGCGCAGCGAAGCACUCGCCUUUUUUAUGUGAGGCGACAAUUUAUAAAAUAUUAUAUAUAUAUAUAUAUAAAACUCAAUAAUAAUAAUAUGUUAAUAAAUAUAUCAAUUUAAAAAUUAAAAUUAAAAUUAUAGACAAAAAUUAUAAGUCACUACGCAAUUAAUUCUACUAUAUAAUGAAGACAAAAAAAAAAUAGAGCAACAAAAAAAUCUGCUUUUUGAGCUAGGGAAAAAAAUAGUACACUGCCCAGUUAUUCCUUGACAAAAAUAAAACAAAAAAGCAGGGGAAAAAAAUCGAAAGCAACAGAUGAAGACAAAAAUAAAUAGAGCAACAAAAAAUCUACUUUUUGAGGUAUGGAAAAAAACAGUACACUGCCCAGUUUUUCCUUGACAAAAAUAAAACAAAAAAACAGGGGAAAAAAUAGAUAGCAGCAGAAAUACAGAGCCAUUAAAACCUCUGUCAAAAUUCAAAAAAUAGAAGAAAAAAAACUGGGGCAAGGGCAGAAGAAGAGAAGAUUAAAGAAGCAAAGCGGCAGAAAUACAGAGCCACUGGAACCUCUGUCAAAAUUCAAAAAAUAGAAGAAAAAAACUGGGGCGAGGGAGAAGAAGAGAAGAAUAAAGAAGCACAAAUAAGAAAGGGGAGGCAGAAAUACAGAGCAAGAAUUUUUUAUUUUAAGUGAAGAAAAACUCUGUUUUUGCUCGAAAAAAACAGCACAAAAACAGACCUUUGUUUGUGUUCUUUUCGACAAAAAACAGAGGAAAAAGAAUAGAAAGAAGAAGAGAGGAAUGAGAGAGAAGAAAGGAGAAAGAAGAAAUAAGAAAGAAGAAACAUACCUGGUCUGUUCACUAUUGCAGACGAUGAAGAAGACGAUGAAGAAGAGAUGGCAGACGACCCUAAUCGUGACUUCAGAAGCCUCUCGUUUGUUUUGUUCGAAGUUGAAGAAGCUAUGUUGUCAAAAGAACCAUAAAUCGCGACUUUAAGUCUUUGCCCUUUUUCUUUUUCUUCUUUUUUUAGAAAAGGCGACGCUACAGUCGCUUCUCGCCUCACUGUCGCCUCUCGCUGACAAAGCAGAGGCGGUCGCUAUUUUCAAACGCCACGCUACAGACACUCGACACUGUCUCGCUUCGCCUCGCCUCAUCGCCUCUCACUAACAAAGCAGAGGCGGUCGCUAUUUUCAAACGCACGCUACAGACACUUUGUAGCGACACUAUCCCGCUUCGCCUCGCCUCAUGCUAAAAGCGUUGUGGCGAGCGCUAUUAAUAACACUGGAGCACACCAGGUUAGAUAGAACUAGGAAUGAAGUUAUUCGAGACAAGGUGGAUGCAGCCCCUAUUGAGGACAAGAUACGAGAAGCGAGGCUUAGAUGGUUUGGAUAUAUGAGGGGAAGCAUAGACGCUCCGGCAAGGAGGUGUGAGAGGUUGACAUUGGAGGGCCUACGAAAAGAUAGAGGUAGGCCGAAGAAGAAAUUGUGGAAAGGUGAUUAGGCAAGACAUGGCGCAGCUACAGCUGACCAAGGACAAGACACUUGAUAGGUAGGUGUCGAGGAUUAAGAUAAUAGGUUAGGUAGUCUAGACUGUUCAUACUGAUAGUAUUCGUACGUACUCUCGCAUUCUAAUGGUAUUAGGAUUCUAUGACUACCGGUCAUUGUUUCAUUUCAGUCAUCUUACUAUCUUGUUGCUAUUUAUGCUGCUUUUACAUGGCUUCUCAAGGGUAUCCCUUUUUAUUUUUCUUUCCGCUAAUGUGGUGCUUAUGCUUUCCUAGGCAGGGGGUCUAUUGCAAACAACCUCUCUAUCUCUACAAGGUAGGGUUGAGAUGCGUGUACACAUUACCCUCCCCAGACUCACUUUGUGAGAUUAUAAUGGGUAUGUCGUUGUUGUUGUUGCAGCAUACCACACUAAUUAAUUAAAUAAUGUAAGUCUAAUAUAACUACAUGCCCCUAAGGCCUAGCUCAAGUGGCAAAAGGAUGGUGGAUUUGUGUCUUAGGUCACAGGUUUAAGCCCCACACCAUGCAAAGAAAAGCCUUAUAUUUAAGUGGAGAAGGGUAGAGGGGCGGCCCUAUUAUCCACCGAGUUUCGAAGGUUGCGGAUGGUUCAAAGGAUCGGCCUCAGGUGGAUUUCUCGGUCAUCAAAAAAAAUAUAACUACACCUAAUCCCAUUGCUUAUAUGAAUUUUUUGCUUCAAUUGUGCUCCAAAUGAGAAAUAUUACUUGAAAAAUACUGACGUGGUGUUGCCACCAAUUCUACUCACACAUAAUAAAGCAGAAUUGUAAUACAUCGUAUCGGCAAGCACGGGUAAUACAUCAUUCGAUUCAAAGAAAGACAUCUUAUCAUACACAACUCCAACCUAAAGUAAAAGUAAACUUCUUGGUUUAUCAAUAUAUCAAUCAAUCAACUCUCCCGAACUAGUUGAGUUGAGUAUCAAUAUAUCACUCAACCAACAGUACCUCAAUCCUAAAUUAGUUGCCAGACUUUAACUGUUGGGUAAAACGACAAAUUUUUACCGCCGCCCAAGACACACCCACAUUAAAACUUUUCUCAAACCCAACAAAGAAAAAAAAGGAAAAACAAUAGCAGAAAAGAAACCUGAAUUUUGAUGGCAGCACAGUUCUGCUGACGCAACCAGAGGCGACGAUUCCGCUCUAAACGAGUCUGUUCCAGAAGCUUCUGUCGGUCACGUUCCUUGGAGCUGCGCCCACCCAAAUCGACCCGCUUCCUCGUCGAAGGAUCACCAGAGAAAAACAUAAUUUCUUUUUCUUCAAAUUCACAAAAAAAAAAAAAUCUGCCCUAAAAUUCCCUGUGGCCGAUGAUUGAUGAAUCCAGAAUUUGUUCAACUGAUCGGAAAUAGUAGUAGCAAGAAAAGAGAGCGGACUCGGGAAGAAAAGGGUCUCUAGUCUUUCCUUUGGUUCUUUUCUUUAAACUUUGGGAAUGAGAAUUACAGCAAUACCAUUAAGGAAAAAUCGUACUAAUUAAUAUAGCAAACAAAGUACUUUUGAGAUAGAAACCAUUUGUCUUUUGCUAUUUUUACAAAAUUUUUUAAAAAAAUAUGCUUUUAAGUAUAUUUUCAUGAAAUAAUUUUUUUUUAAGAUAUUUUGAAAACAAGUUAUUUCUUUCUCUUAUCAAGAACUGCUUUUGAUAAGCAUUUUUUUUUCUUUAAAAAGCUUGAUCAAAUAUUUUAUCAGUUAAAAAUUACUUUUUGAAAAUAAGUUUUUUCUUUCUCUUCUCAAGAACUGCUUUUGAUUCUAUUCAAAAGUAUUUUUUUCUUCUAAAAGUUUGGUCAAAUAUCUAUUUUUAGAAAACGUGUUUGUCCCAAAAAGCACUAUUUGCCAAAAUAAACUUGGCAUACACAUACACUUUUUGUAUGUUAUAUACAAAAGUUAUAUAAAUUAUAUUCACUUUUAGGCUACCGAAUAUAAGUAGUUUCUGACGCAUGCUAAAAGUGAUAUGUGCUCACUUUAACAGUUAACAGCGUAAUAACAAAGAUAAAAGUAUGAAAUCUCAUAAAUAUAUUUAGGCUACAAACAUCAAUGUCUAAUACUAUCUCAAGAUUUGGUCACAAGUACAGGAGCCAUUAAGAGUACUAAAUACAAAAUUUGCAAAAAAAAAAAUACAACAUUGUGUGGUAUAAUAAAUAAAAAAUAGGGAUAUGUAAGGGACUCGAGGGUCUGUGAACGCCCUCAUGCAAUACUACCUCAAAUCUCUAGAAUAGUCCGAGCUAACCACCUCUGUGAGCGCUGCUGGGAUCAACAUCGGGAUCUGCACAAGAGAUGCCUAGGUAUAGUAUAAGUACAGCCGACCAUAUGUAUUCCGUACGCAUCGUGUCUAACCUCGACAAAGUAGUAUUGAGGCUAUCACGAGGCAUUUAGUAUAAACUUGUACAAGGAAUAAGCAGAAAUGCAAUGACAAUAUAGAGAUACGUGUAAAGUCAUAAAAUUAAAUAAGAGAAUAGAUAACAAGCAAAAAAUAACAGUAGGCACAACUUUAUAACGCAACACUAUAAUGAAGAAUAACAGCCAAGAAUAACUACCAGACUUUCUAUCCAUUGUAGCGUGCAACUAGAUCUCAAUAUCAAUAUCAAUAUCAAUAUCAAUAUCAAUAAUAACCAUUACUCGUAGUCGUGUUGUAAUAAUCCGACAGAUCAUUUUGAGCAUUUGCAUUACGUUAAACUAUUUGAAAUCUUGGGUAGCUUCAUAUGAUGUAUUAUGACUUGCGUGAAUCGUCGAUUUUGAAUUUCAUGUGAUUUUUGAUUAAUUUGGAAGAAUAAUUCUCAACUUUGAAGCUUUAAGUUGGAAGAGUUAACCAAGUUUGACAUUUAUGUAUUUGACCUUGGAUUAGAGUUUUGAUAGUUUAAUUAGGUUUGGAUAGUCAUCUUGGACUUCGGCGUAUACCCAAAUUUGUAUUUGGAUGUUCAUAGAAGAUUUUGGCGCUAAUUGACAAAAGUUGGCGAUUUGGAGGUUUUGAAAAUUUAUAAGUUUGACUGAGUUGAUGUUAUGACCCUAACCCCGAACCUGAUCGUGAUGGUGCCUCUCGUGAAGACAAGGCCAACCAAUUGAACCAAAUUCUCAUUUUUUAAACAGUUAAAUAACAUAAAAAUAGUAUAAGCAUGAUUAAUGACACUGAAUAGCGGAAAUAAGGAUAACAAUGCAAAAAUUUCAACCCGACACAGCCCUAACCGGGUUGUCACAAGUCACGAGCAUCUAUCGACCCUGAUACAAGUCUGCUAAAUACAAUAUCCAGUAUAAAUGUUAGAAAGAUAUAGAAAAGACAAGAUAAUAGAGACACAAGGCUGCGGAAGCCAACAACAACCUCGUAGUCUCCGAAUACAGCCUGGAACUGGAGGAAUCAGCCCUCAAGAGUAGAACCAGCAACGCCUGAAUAUGCACACAUGGUGCAUGGAGUUAUAUCAGUACUCCGACCCAGUGAGUAGCAAAUAUAAAUAAUGACUCUAAGUAAGAAAACACAUAAAACACGAGGUAUUCUAUACCGAAGCAGUAAAAAUCACUUAAAACAGUAAAGUAGUGAAGAUGUCAAGUAAAAAUUCUUUUUCAACAAGGCAAGUAAUUGACAGUUAUAUGGUAUCAACAAAAUGCCCCUCGGGAAAUAUCUCAGAACGGUACCAGCCCCUAGGGCUCAAUCUCAGAAAAAUGUCAGCCCCUCGAGCUCAAUCUCACAUCACAAUGGGUAUCCGCGCUCACUGGGGGUGUACAAACUCCGGGAGGGGCCCCUUAUUGCCCAAGCACAAUAUCAAGCAAUCUCGUGGCAUCAAAUAUAAGCCCUUGGCCUCAUAUCAAUCAAGCCACCUCAUGGCGUAUAUGUAUCUCAGACCCUCGACCUCAAAUCAAUAUCAAUGUUCCUCACAACAUAGGCCCUCAACCUUACUCAGUCCAAAAAUCAUCACAAGCCCCUCGAGCAAAAAUCAUCAGCUGCUGCAACAAAUCUCCAACCUCUCCGAUAACCACCCGAAAUCAUCCCGAGGCCUCUGGAACCUCAAACCAAAAGCACGAACAUCACCCAAUACCUUAUUCAAACUUAUUUCAAUCAUCAAAAUACCUAAAACAACAUCAAAUUUAGCAAAUUUCAUCGAAUUCAAGCCUAAGUUUCAAAAAUCUUUCGAAAUACGCUUUUGAUCAAAAAUCCAACCAAAUCACGUCCGAAUGACCUGCCAAAUGACACAACGAAGCUACUAGAACUCUCAGAAUUCCAUUCCAACCUCUAUAUCAAAAUCUCGGCUAACAACCGGAAAUCCCCAAAAUGAAAACUUUGCCAAUUCAAGCUUAAUCCUACUCCAAACUUCCAAAACCCAUUCCAAUCACAUUCCUAAGUUACAAAUCACCUCUCGAAGCUUACCGAACCAUCGAAACUUGCAUCUGAUCCCGCUAACACAUAAGUCAAUACCAGUUUCCAACUUAAGCCUUCUUAAAAGAGACUAAGUAUCUCAUUUCUUACUAAAUUCUCUCUGAACUCAAACUAAUCGACCCGAUCAUAUAAAACACAACUAACAAAGCAUAAAAAGCAAAAAUCAGGGAAACAAAGUGGUAACUCAUGAGAUGGUUGGCCGGGUUUUCACAUACUCCCUAACUUAAACAAAUGUUCAUCCUCGAACGAGUCAAGAAAAAAAGCCUGAAGCCUCAAAUAGGUGAGGAUAUCUGCUCUGCAUCCCCCGCUCGGUCUCCCAGGUAGCCUCUUCCAUGGGCCAACCUCUCCACUACACUUUCACUGAAGUUAUAUUCUUUGACUUCAACUUCCGAACCUGACGACCCAAAAUAGCUACUGGCUCCACAUCAUAGGUCAGAUCAUUAUCCAACUGAACCGUGCUGAAAUCUAAAACAUGAGACGCAUCCCCAAUAUACUUCUGGAGAAUAGAAACAUGAAAUACCGAAUGCACACUCGACAAGCUGGGAGACAAAGCAAGCUCACAAGCCACCUCCUUAUUCCUCCAAAGCACCUCAAAAGGCCCAAUGAACUGAGGACUCAAUUUCCUUUUCUUCCCAAAUCUCAUAACACCCUUCAUGGGUGAAACCUUCAAUAGAACAGUCUCGUAAACUAUGUAAGACACAUUUCGAACCUUCCUGUCAGCAUAACUCUUUUGCCUCGAUUGUGCGGUACGAAACCUCUCACUUUCACCUUGUCUAAAGCAUCCUACACCAAGUCUGUCCCUAAUAGCCUAGCCUUACCGUGCUCGAACCAACCAACUGGAGAUCUACACCACCUCAUGUUCAAAGCCUCACAUGGAGCCAUCUGAAUACUCGACCGCUUCUUGCCAACCAUGUAGGACACAUCUCGAACUUUCCUACCAUCAUAACUUUUUUGCCUCGACUGCACUGUACGAAGCAUCUCCCUAAUUAUCUUCACCUUCUCCAACGCAUCAUGUACCAAAUCAGUCCCUAAUAGCCUAGCCUCGUCGGGCUCGAGCCAACCAACUGGAGAUCUAUACCGCCUCCCAUACAAAGCCUCAUAUGGAGCCAUUUGAAUACUCGAAUGGUGGCUGUUGUUAUAAGCAAACUCUGCAAGCGGUAGAAACUCAUCCUAUGAUCCUCCAAAAUCAAUGACACAAGAACGCAACAUGUCCUCCAAUAUCUGAAUAGUAUGCUUGGGUUGUCCGUCCGUCUGAGGAUUAAAAGUUAUGCUCAACUCCACCUGAGUACCCAAUUCUCUCUGCACGACUCUCCAAAUUGCAAAGUAAACUGAGUACCUCUAUCUGAAGUGAUGGAAACUGGAACACCAUGCAAACGAACAAUCUCUCGAAUAUAAAUCCCUGCCAACUGCUCUGAAAAUAAGGCAGUACACACAGGAAUGAAGUGCGCGAGCUUGGUCAGCCGAUCCACAAUCACCCAAAUAGCAUCGAACUUAUUCAAAGUCUGUGGAAGUCCAACAACAAAGUCCAUGGUGAUCCGCUCCCACUUCCACUCAGGAAUAACCAUCUGCUGAAGCAAACCACCCGGUCUUUGAUUCUUAUACUUCACAUGCUGACAAUUGAGACACCGGGACACAAAUCCCACAAUAUCUUUCUUCAUUCUUCUCCACCAAUAGUGCUACCUCAAAUCCUAACAAAUCUUCGUGGCACACGGAUGAAUGGAAUAUCUCGAGCUAUAGGCCUCCUCCAGAAUCAACUCCCGAAGCCUAUCCACAUUGGGCACACAAAUCCGACCCUACAUCCUCAGCAUCCCAUCAUCACUGAUGGUCACAUCUCUGUCCUAAUCAUGCUGAACUCUGUACCUAAGGACAAUCAAAUGCAGAUCAUCAUACCGGAGCUCUCUCAUGCAAUCAUAUAAGGAAGACUGAGAAACCACACAAGCCACACUCAUUGGGCUCCGAAAUAUCCAACCUCAUAAAUCGAUUGGCCAAGGCCUGAACAUCAACUGCAAGAGGUUUCUCCCCAACUGGAAUAUAUGCCAAACUCCCCAUACUUACUGCAUUUUGGCACAAAGCAUCGGCCACCACAUUGGUCUUUACCAGAUGGUACAAUAUAGUAAUAUUAUAAUCCGCCCCCAGGGAACAUUGCCAGCCGACACAAACAUUAACCCGAAGGAGAAAAACCCAAAUCAGCUGAUGGCAGUAAGUCUCCGGAAUAAGAGAGAUUUAGACACGGAGCAAGAAGUUUCUCAAUCUAGAAGAGAGAAUUUUCCAACUACUCCAAUUCCAUUAGAUAUGGAUGAAUCAGCAGAACUCACUAAAGUGAUGGUUGAACAGGUUCAGAUUGAUAGGGGUAAGGAUAAAGAAAGUGAACAAGUUGCAGAACAGGUGGUAACUCUUGUGCCAAAAAAACACCAAUAAAGAGAAUCCAGCAACCAGUGAACAAAGAGUGAUACGUGCACCAUUCCCUCAGGGACUGCAAAACAAAAGAAAGAAGAUCAAUACAGAAAAUUCAUGGAGAUGCUUCGUCAAAUUCAAUUGAAUAUUCCUCUGAUGGAUGCUUUGAGGGAAAUUCCAAGCUAUGCAAAAAUGAUGAAUGACCUAAUGUCACAAAAAUUUGACUUUCAGGACCUGUCCACAGUAACUCUGACACAGACAUGCAGUGCAGUAGUGACAAGACCGAUGGCCCAAUAGAUGUCUGAUCUAGGGAGCUUCACUAUUCCAUGUACUAUUGGGAGUUGUGCUUUUGCAAAAGCAUAGUGUGACUUAGAGGCCACAUAAACUUGAUUCCUUUGGCAAUAUACACAAAAUUGGGCAUUGACAGAGCUAGACCGACUUCGAUGUUAUUGCAACUAGUUGAUCGUACGGUUAAAAGACCGACAUGGAUUCUUGAUGAUAUGCUGCUACAAGUGGGAAAGUUUAUAUUCCCCAUAAAAUUUGUUAUUCUAGAUUGCAAGGUAGAUGAGAAGAUAUAAAUCAUUAUAGGGAGGCCAUUUUUAGCCACUGGGAGAGCAUCGAUUGAUUGUGAAACUGUGGAAUUAAAAACGAGGUUGAAUGAUGAAGAAGUUAUAUUCAACGUCCAACAAUCCAUGAGGAGAACCAGUAAAUAUGAAAAUUGCUCACUAGUGGAAGCUAUAGAUGUGAUCCUGCAUAAGAUGAUGAGAUCAUGAAUGCUAAAGAUCCAUUGGGAGCUUGCUUGACAAAUUUAGAAGAGAUGGAUGGUGAAGGGUUGGCAGAAAGGGUCGUGGCACUCGAAGGCCAAGGAUUCUAGAAGAAAGAACCUCCGUUCGAGUCCCUUGAGUUAGAAAAGAGAGUUAUACCACCUGCAAAACCAUCAAUAGAGGAACCACCACUGGAAUUGAAACCGUUUCCAGCCCACCUCAGGUAUGCUUUCUUGGGUCCCAACUCUACUUUGUCUAUUAUUAUAUCAUCUGGUUUGCUAGCUGUGUAGGUAGAACAAUUAUUGCAGGUGUUGUAGGAAUGCAAAAUUGACAUUGGUUGGACCAUGGCAGACAUUAAGGGUAUUGGCCCAGCCAUUUGCAUGCACAAGAUUCGUCCGGAAGAAGGGAGCAAACCUUCCAGGGAAUAUCAAGGAAGGGUGAACCCGAAUAUGAAAAAGGUAGUAAAAAGGAGGUAAUCAAGUGGCUGGACGCGGGCAUCAUCUUCCCUAUCUCUGAUAGCAAUUGGGUAUCUGUCCAGCGUGUAUCAAAAAAGGGUGGAAUUAUAGUUGUACAGAAUGAGAAAAACGAGUUGAUCUCAACUCGUACAGUCACAUGGUGUCGGAUUUGCAUGGAUUACAAGAAAUUAAUUGCAGCCACCCGAAAGGACCAUUUUCCCUUGCCCUUCAUUGACCAAAUAUUGGAUAGGUUAGUGCGCAAUCCUAUUUGUUUUUCUUGGACGGAUACUCGCGGUACAAUCAGAUCUCAAUAGCCCCGGAAGAUAUAGAGAAACCGUCCUUAACAUGUCUGUAUGACAUCUUUGCCUUUUGGAGGAUGCCCUUUGAACUUUUCAAUGCACCGGUCAUAUUCCAGGGGCGUAUGCUACCCAUCUUCACCGACAUGGUCGAAGACAUUAUGGAGGUGUUUAUGGAUUUCUCUGUGGUAGGGGAUUCAUUCGAAGAUUGUCUUCACAACCUUAAGAGAGUGCUCAAACAAUGUGUGGAGACAAAUUUGGUGCUGAACUGGGAGAAGUUCCAUUUCAUGGUACAAGAAGGCAUAGUGUUGGGGCAUAGAGUGUCCAAAAAGGGGAUUGAAGUAGACCAUGCAAAAGUUGAUAUGAUUAAGAAGCUCCCAGCACCCACUUCAGUGAAAGCAGUGAGAAGUUUCCUCGGGCACGUUGGAUUCUACAGGCGGUUCAUCAAGGAUUUAGACGUAAUUGGAGGCAAUAACAAGUGUGAGAAGAUCAAAACACCAUUAGAAUUUUCAUUCUUCUUUUUAUUAUCAUUAUUUUGUGAACUAUGAAUGAUUUUAUGGUUUAUUCUUGCCUUUCUAUGCGUAGCUAAACAUAUAAUCUAGCAUUGAUGGAACCAAUUCUUAGAUGAAGUUUUGACUCAAUUUUGUUACAAUCGAGCCAGGUUCAUUAAAUGAUUGCUCCACUAUAUUUUCUAUGGUAAUUAAUUGAAUGGGCCCUUGAUUAAUCGUGUCUAGUUGCCUUGUAUUUCUUGAGAAAGAAUAGUAGGUUAGAUUGUUAUUGAACAACACUACUUUUGGCUGAUAGAAGAGAUUCAUUACUUGAAUUUAAAAGUGUGGUUAGAGAUAACGAAACUUUAGUGGGAUAAUUCAGAGUUGUAUAAAUUAUUAGGUAGAGUAGUUCGAGAGAAUGCUCUAGUAGAUUAUUGUAGUUGAUCAAGAGGUAACUGUGGUAACCCGUAGCUCAUUAUCCUCAUAGAGUAUCACGACGAGAUUAUAGCAAAAGAAUUAAGAAGUAAACUAGCAACUGGGGAAAUCAAUACCCUAGAUCUUUUUACUAUUGAUUUAUCUUUGAUUUUGAAUAUUGUUAGUUUUAAUAUCAUUUUGCUUUAGUUAAACAAAACCCAAUAUUUAUUUGUAAAAAUCUUGCAUUCGCAAAUUGUUUAAGCCUGUUAUAGCAUCACCAAGAGCUAUUAUAGAUAGGUUAUUUCCCUAAGGAUUCGACGCCGGACUUGAAAACCAUAUUAUAUUUGCAACGACCGCUUUGUCUUUUAUAAUGCAUAGUUGGGCGUGAUCAUACAUGGGGUUAAUUUUACUUAUACUGCACUUUGCACUUUAUGUGCAACUGCAGACACUGCCGAGAGAGGUGAUUGUUAAUAGGUGGAACCUGUACCAGUUCUUAGAGAUUUGAGGUAGGCAUUGUCCCCUUCUGCUUUGUUUAUAUUAUCAUUGUUCUAUAUUUCAGACAGUUCUGUAUUAGACUUUAUAUUCAAAUUUUGUUGUGCUCAUAUGCUUCCUGACCCCAGAUCACAUAAUGGUUUAGAUGUGUUAGGACUUAUGGCUUUAGUUGUUUAUGAUUAUUUUCGUUGUUGGGACCAUUUUAUAUCGCUAUUUGAGUUUAUUAAUGCUUAUUGAUUGAUGACUUGCUAAGCAAGUGGUGUUAGACUCUGUCAUGAUGCCCGUGGGAGUUUCGGUCGUAACAAGUUGGUAUAGAGCACUAGGUUUCUCAAGUAUCACGAGUGAUGAGCAAGUCUUGUAAAUAUUUAAGGAUCGAUAGUGAGAUGUCUAUACUUAUCUUCGAGAGACUACAUGGUUGUUAGGAAACUUCACUUUAUUUCAUUAUUUGUCGUAAUGAUUUAUCAUGUCCCGAAAAACACAGAUGUGGCUGGCACCUAGCUAACCAACUUAAUCAUUUACAUAACAUUUAUUCAAUACUCAACCGAAAAAAAUGCAAGUCCUUAAUAUUUCAAUAAUCAAAUGCAAAUAAUUAAUGAUCCAAAUUGUUCCAUAAAUAUUUAUGAAUAAUUAUAACCAAAAUGGAGGAACAAUACUUUAGCCCAAAUCACUAACUAGACCAUGAAGUAUCCAACAAAAUUACAAAAGACUAAAGAUCGGAUGUGUAAACCCCAAAAUAAAAGAUGUCAUAUAAAUAGAUAAUAAAUACUCGUUGGGUAGCCUUCACGAAUAAUUUGGUGGCUCACCAAGAAACUUUAGUGAACACAUUAGCUACUAGCUCCGUCAUCACGAAUAGUAUCUGCAUGAACAUGUAGGUAAGGAGCGAGUUAUACGUGAUAUAACCCCGCAAGUUCUUUGACUAGCUACUUUGAAUACCAUUGGAACAAGUGUUAGAAAACACAAAUACACCACAACCAACACGAUUUAAUAAACACAAUAAAUACACGAAAACUCAAUGUACUAUCAACAUAGCUAAUAAGAAUUAACUAGCAAGAAUACAUAUAUCUCAAUAUAAUACACAUUAAGGAUCAGUCAUAAAUGGUAGUGAAGGAAAUUAACCAACACCCCGAUGAGUCCACGAUGGCACCAUUGAUGAUAGGCUAUAAUUACGUAUUUUAGUUGAUUAUUACACUCUGAUGUACUUCAUUUUAGUUGAGUUUGCUGUAAUCGCUAGUGGUUUGCACUAACGUUAUGUUUUAUGCCUUGUAGGAGUGAUUCCAAGCUAUAUGGAAUGAAUUCAAGUGAUUUGGAGCUUUGAAGUAUGAGUAAAAGCCCAAGGAAUUAAGCAAGGAUCGUGUCAGGAGUCAACUUUGAUAGUUAAGAACAAAUGAAGAUUCGAGCAGGCAUAUUGCCCACUGUCCAUUAAAAUAUACAUAAAUAUUUUCUCAGAACAUCAUUUAUUCUUGAAAAUAUAUGGUUGACAAGCUAACUGAAAGGGCUACAACUUUCAUUUUUUACAUUUUUCCAAAUUCGAAACGGAACAGGGUGGAAAAUGCGUGUCAAUAGCGCAAUUGCACUCACAUGCAAGUUGCACUCGUCAGGUAGAACAGUGGGUCACUAGUGCGACCGCGCUAGCCAAACUCGAGAAAAGUGUCCUUUUUCACAUUGGAGAAGGUAUAAUUGUUUGGUCAGAACCCUACUUGGUAUAUAUACAUGGAAAACGGUAUUUUGAGGGAGAGGAUGUUUUUGAGAGGAAAACACAAGCACAGAGCCGUUGUGGAGGCCCGAGUUUCAUCUUUUCUUCCACCAACUUAGUCUUUUUAUGAUUCUUUGUAUGAUUGUUAUUUUGCUACCAUGUCAACGUGAAGCUAAAAUUCACGUUCUAGGGUUGUGGUUUUUUCAUGAAUAUUGUUAUUCUGAUGUUGAUUUUGAUUUUUUAGUUUGUCAUAUUUGUUUAUUUACUCAAUCCUACACUUAAUUAUUUUAAUUCUUUAUCACCAAUUGAAUACUAUCUACGGAUCUAGAGUUGAACUCAAAAGUGGAAAUUCUAGAUUACAUAUAGGAUUGAGUAGAACAAGUUCUUGAACUUGGGCAUCGGGGAACAGAUUCGCGGUUAGGAUAGACAUAUACCCAAUUGCCUUGCUUGGUUGAUUUACAGGAAUUAUAAAUGCGUUCUUGUUGAUUCUAACCCCAUAGACAUAUUGGCAUUAAGUUAGCUUGAAUAGGUGAGUAAGAACUCGACAGGUUUUUAUGAGCAAUAUUAACCCUGUCAACCAGUAAAUUAGAUAAAUUAGUUACCAAUUCAAUUGAAGAAUAUAAUAGGAAUGUUAGAUAGCCCAUAAUCCUAGGUCGUCUUCAUUACAUUGAUAUCAUAAAAAUCUACUCUUUCUCUGUCCAAAGUUCAUUAUUUGUUUUUAUUUAUUUUAGUUAGAUUAGAAUCAAAUACUUCUUGGUUUAACUCUUGUAUAGAUAAUAAUGAUAGUCUAAUCUAGUUAAUAGUUGAUCAUAAGUCCUCGUGGGUCCGACAUCUGACUUUUAGUUACUUUAUUAUUUGAGGACCGCGUAUACUUGCGUGUGCGUUUGGCCCCAACAAGUUUUGGCUCCGUUGCCGGGGACUUAAAAAUUAACUAUUUUUCUAUAUCAGACUUUUACUUUUAUCUUUAUAAGUUUUUUCUUCUCUUUUUAUAAAUAUUUUAAUUUUAUAACUAUUCGGCUUUUCUCCUAGUGUGUUUCUAGUUCUCUCAAUAUGAUAUCUGUGAGGCAUGAAUUUGAAUAUGGGAGUAAGGGUUGAUAUUGGGACAUAUAUUCUUUAUUUGGCGAAUAUGCUGAACGACGUUGUCUUCUGGCUACGUUGGUGAAUGAUUGGUCUAAGGAGAGAGAUGAACUUGCACAUAAAAUUGAUAAUUUUGGCUUGGCUGUACAUAACUUUGAUGUGGAUUUGAGUGCAAAAGUUGAUGCGUGUAACGCCAAUAAUGAGUUGUGUGAAGCUAAAAAAGUCUUCUAGACCAAAUUGAGGAGCUAAAACAAGAUUACCAAUCACUAGACCAUGUUUUUCUUGAGGAUGCCAAUAUUGAGAAGAGCGUUCUAAAGUUAUAUGAGGGAGUUGAUACCAUUACUUUGGGAGACUUGAGCGUAUGUAAAUAUGGGGAUGCAAAUAGUAGUACAAUUCAUGAGUUAGGGCGCAUUAGACCUCAUUCCAAUCAUUUUCCACGUUGUGUUUAGAUAGUAAGAUAGUAAUCGAGCAAUCUGAGCCUAUGGGGGAGUCAAAGAGUGAGGAUGAAAGUGCCUAUAUUUUUGAAUUGAAGUCUGACGCAUCACUUACUUUUCGUCAUCGUGGGUCCAUAACCAUUUUACUACCUAUUUAUGUGGUUGAUAUCUUGAUCACUGGCAUAAUCACUCAGCCCUUGAGGAUGCAGCUUCUACGGAUUGAGGUUAUUCCCCGCUAGAAUGGGCCAGGUGGGAUGGGGGAGCGGUCGAGCGUGCAAAGGCGCAAGUCGAGCAAGGUAUCUGAACUGAAAUGUAAAAAAGCGUGCAAAAGAAAAGGUCGGCUUUUCUUUUUGCUAACGAUUCCAAAGAUUCUAUCAUCGAACAUCGAAUUCUUGGCGGGUCUUUCCUUGAUCCCUUCCUUGCCUCAUCUCCCUAAUCUCUCCUAUAGAUCAUAUUCAACUUUAUGGCAUUUCGUUGCACUUUAAUCACCCUCGUGAAGAGGUGCACUCCGAUACCAUUGAUGUCCAAUAGCUUUUAUAGUAAUGGCUGGAUCUACUACUACCUCGUCCAUUGAGUAUAACAGAGCAAAUGAUGGUAUAGCAAUGAACAUAGGGAUGAUACUAGGAAAUAUGGUCCGAAGAAUCUCGAUAGUAGUUCCAUGAACAAUCCUUUGCGGGAUUGGAUUUUUUUUAUAGUGGAAAUGCCAUAAAGCGCGACCCAAGAUCCAUGAUACGAAAACCAAAAUCAGAAUAACGAAGAAAAAGACAUCGUGANNNNNNNNNNNNNNNNNNNNNNNNNNNNNNNNNNNNNNNNNNNNNNNNNNNNNNNNNNNNNNNNNNNNNNNNNNNNNNNNNNNNNNNNNNNNNNNNNNNNNNNNNNNNNNNNNNNNNNNNNNNNNNNNNNNNNNNNNNNNNNNNNNNNNNNNNNNNNNNNNNNNNNNNNNNNNNNNNNNNNNNNNNNNNNNNNNNNNNNNNNNNNNNNNNNNNNNNNNNNNNNNNNNNNNNNNNNNNNNNNNNNNNNNNNNNNNNNNNNNNNNNNNNNNNNNNNNNNNNNNNNNNNNNNNNNNNNNNNNNNNNNNNNNNNNNNNNNNNNNNNNNNNNNNNNNNNNNNNNNNNNNNNNNNNNNNNNNNNNNNNNNNNNNNNNNNNNNNNNNNNNNNNNNNNNNNNNNNNNNNNNNNNNNNNNNNNNNNNNNNNNNNNNNNNNNNNNNNNNNNNNNNNNNNNNNNNNNNNNNNNNNNNNNNNNNNNNNNNNNNNNNNNNNNNNNNNNNNNNNNNNAUUUCUUCUCGGUGCAAAACAAAGGUUUGGAACCCUAGGACUCUUUCUCGUGAACUAGGUUCAAUCAAAUAAAUAGAUGUGUUGUGUCGAAAAGCAAAAAUUACAUUCCCCAUCUAAAGGUUGAAAAGUGUAGAGUAAAAAUUUUAUUGCUUGGCUUGGUUAUCUUUGUAGCCCCACCUUUAGAGCAUAGUCACAGACUAGAUGCUCUGUUACGGGUACAAUUCAUAAGUUCAAGGUGGAGGAAAAAGUAAUUUACGUCGUGCCGCGACGUUAAAUUAGGCGCUUGUUGGGAGGCAACUCAACUUUACUGCUUUCUUUUACUUUUGACUUUUUUCUUAUUUUAUUAUUUUUGUAGUGUUGUUUUAUUUUUUAGGAUUAUGAGCAUAAGAAGAAAGCCAUUGGAAGUGUAAAAAAGUGAGCUAGUCGAUUGGAACUAGUGUGAGGUACCCGCACAAAGGACCAUCCUUGGAAGAAGUCUGAGUAUCCCGUGAGCUGCUAUUGUUUCGGCCUUUGGCCUUUCAGGAAGUUUCUCAUUCACCCUUAUUAAUUUUUAUUUUAUUUGUGCAUCGAGGACAUUGCACUCGUUUAAGUGUGGGGUGCGAGAAUUCUUUUAGAUAAUUAGUAGUAUUAUGUUAGUAAAAAUGUUAACUCCUUAUUUUUUUUUAAUUUUAGCUUAUUCUUUUUGUUUUUGUAGUUGUGUAGUAAUUUAGUAGCUUAAAUUUUUUAUUCUUUUUUUAAUGUGAAAAAUCCGAAAAAUAAAAAAUAAGUUAAAAAAUUUACUUUUCUCGACGAUGGAUCUCCUAGACAGUUUUCUUGAGGGAUUAAAGUCUAAACAAAAAACACAAAUAUAUGUCUUUUAGCUUUCUUUAGGUAGUAAUAAUCUCCCAUGGUUUUUCUUUGUGCCUCGAUUCUUUUCCAUGGGAUAUAGUUUGAACCGGGUAGUUUUUUAUUUUAUAGUAGUUUAGCGAAUUAAAUGGAGGAAAAAAGAUGAGAUAAACCUAGGCGCCCUUGACUUGUUUGAUAGUAGCAUAUUUAGGCUUUGCCAUGUGUUAUAUAUUCCCUAUGAUUUGGAAUCAUUGACGAUGCCUUGCAUAGUUGGAUAGCAUGUUUUGUGACGCCUAUGUCUCAUUUUUGAGACUUAUGUUCACUUUGUGCUUAAUGCUUAAUAUCUCGUGGCUUUGUGAAUACUUGCAUCGUUUGAGAGUUGGAAUGAGACCGUCCUUAGUGAGUCAUGUGCCAUGUGAGGUGAGUUGUUUUUGUAGUCUAUGUAUUUUACUUGUGUCUAGAACUUGGCCGAUAUGUGAGUUGAAGCGAAAUUUUAGACGAUGCUCGAUUUGAAAUAUGAUUUUAGGCUUUCUUUGAUCUUUUUUGAGCUUUAUUACUUAUCACAAAUAAAAUUUAUCCCUAGUUAACCCUUUUGAGCCUAUAGACUUCUAUUUAUCACUCACAUUACAAGCCUAUACCCUUUUUAUUCUUAAUUGAUAUUGUUUUGAUUCUUUUUCCUCUUAAAGCACUUUAAUUGUGGGAUCAGCGCUAAAACAAGAAUGAAGGAACUACGCAUGGGGUGGCUUUUGAUUGGACCCAAUAAGAGGAAGAAAUGUGAACUUAUUUUUUAAAUAAUACACCAGUCGCGGAAAUUUAAAAAAAAGAAUAAUCUGAAAAAAAUAGAGAUGAAUACAUUGUUGUCUUGUUCCUGCUAGCGGGUAUGAAUUAAUGUAGUGCUUAAUGAAGAAGGGAGCAUUUUUGGGUGAUAUUGUUUGUGAAAGUGAAGUGAAUCGAAGAAUUUGCGCUUGAAGUUGAUUAUGUGGUAUGUUAAAGUGCUUAGGAGGGUUAAUCACUCUUCCUAAAUAUAUCCUACCCAUCUCGUAGCCCACAUUACAACCCUGAAAAAGACCUAAUUGAUUUUAGAUGGAGCGAGCCUACAUUAGUAGAGAUUUACAUUAAGGGAAAGCCUAUGGUACCAAUUACAUGCAUGUGACUUCUUUUGUGAGGGUGAGCAAUUUUCUUUGAAAUAUGUGAGCAUGAGAUUCGAAUGUGUGGAUUGAUUUUACUUUCUUUGCAUUGGUUGUGAGGGCAUGUGUUUUGUGAGGGUGAGCGAUAUUCUUUGAUAUAUGUGAGCAUGAUAUUCGAAUGUGGGGAUUGAUUUUACUUUCUUUGCUUUGGUUGUGAGGGCACAUGGUUUCACGAAGGAUAGGUAACACUUUUAGACUUCUCUAGGAUGUUGGGUGUUCAAGCCAUGGGUGCAUUGUGACAUUGAGUCAGGUUUUGAGGCUAGGAUUGUUGUGAGCAUAUUGAUUUUGUUUGAAUACUUUUGAAGAAUAACAUAAGUAAAGGGAACUGUAUGAUGAUUGCAUAUACUAGAUCUUAGUUGUUGCUAUCAACCAUAAUCAUUGGUGUAGUGUGCUUCGAAUAUGUUAAAUGCUCAUAGAUAGAGUAAAUUUUUUGGUUGACUUGAGGACGAGCAACGUUUAAGUGUGGGGUGUUGAUGAGGAAGGAGGAUAAUUACAUAUUUUCGUCGAUUAUUACACUCUAAUUUACUGUACUUUAGUUGAGUUUGCGCUUUAAUCGCUAGUGUUUUGCACUAAUGAUGUGUUUUGCGCCUUGUAGGAGUGCUUCCGAGCUAUAUGGAUAUUAUGGAAUGGAUUCAACUGAUUUGAAACUUUGAAGUUUGAGUAAAAGCCGAAUGAGUUAAUUCGGGAUCAUGUUAGGAGUCAACUUUGAAAGUUAGAACAAACGAAGACUCAAGUAGGCAUAUUGUGUAGUGUCUAGUAAAAUAUACAUAACCUUUUUCUCAUAACUCUAUUUGGUCUCCACAAUAUAUGGUCGGAAAGCUAAUUCAUAGGGAUACAACUUUCAUGUUUUAUAUUUUUCCAAAUUUGAAAUGGAACAGGGUGAAAAAUGCACGUCAAUAGCGCAAUUACGCUUGCGCUUAGGUCGCGCUCGUCAGGCAGAACACUGGGCUACUAGCGCGACCACUAGCGUGACCGCGCUAGUCAAACCCGGGAAAAUUGUCCUUUUCACAUUGGAGAAGGUAUAAUUAUUCGGGCCCAACUCUACUUGGUAUAUAUACACGAAAAAUGGUAGUUUGAGGGUGGAUGAUGUUUUUGAGAGGAAAACACAAGCACAAAGCCGUCUUAGAGGGGGGGUUUCAUCUUUUAUUCCCCUAACUUAGUCUUUUUACGUUUCUUUGUAUGAUUAUUUAUUUCUCUACCAUAUCUACGUGAGUUAAAAUUCAUGUUCUAGGUUUGUGGUUCUUUCAUGAAUAUUGUUAUUCGGAUAUUGAUUUUGAUUUCUUAGUUUAUCAUAUUGGUUGAUUUAUUCAAUCCUGCACUUAAUUAUUUGAUUGCUUGAUCACCAGUUUAAUACUAUUUACGAAUCUAGAGUUGAACUCGAAAGUGAGAAUUCUAGAUUGCAUAUAGGAUUGAGUAGAGCAAGUUCUUAAGCCUGGGCAUCGGGGAACAGAUUCGCGGUUAGGAUAGACAUAUACCUAAUUGCCUUGCUUGGUUGAUUUACAGGAAUUACAAAUGCGUUCUUGUUGAUUCUAACCCCAUAGACAUAUUGGCAUUAAGUUAGCUUGAAUAGGCAAGUAAGAACUCAACAGAUGUUUUUGAGCAAUAUUAACCCUGUCAACCAGUAAACUAGAUAAAUUAGUUAGCCAAUUCAAUUGAAGAAUACAAUAGGAAUGUUAGAUAGCCCAUAGCCCUAGAUCGUUUUCAUUAUAGUGAAAUCAUAAAAAUCUGCUCUUUCUCUGUCCAAAGUUCAUUAUUUGUUUUUAUUUAUUUUCAUUAGUUUAGAAUCAAAUACUUCUUGGUUUAAUUCUUGUAUAGAUAAUUAGGAUAGUCUAAUUUAGUUAAUAGUUAAUCAUAAAUCCUCGUGGGUUCGACAUACGACUUUUAGUCACUUUAUUACUUGAUGACCGUGAUAGAUAAUUAGGAUAGUCUAAUUUUGUUAAUAGUUGAUCAUAAGUCCUCGUGGGUUCGCCAUCGACUUUUAGUCACUUUAUUACUUGACGAACGCGUAUACUUGCGUGUGCGUUUGGCCACAACAACCAUAAUGCCUCAAUUAUGUGACAAAGCAUACACAAUACCCCUACUGAAGCACACACAAUGCCCCAAUUAUGUCAAUAGGCGUAGUGUGUACUGUGAAAUCAGAGGAGCCAAUUUCAUGGCCAUUAUGAUGCUCCAUAGAUACGCCUCCUAAGGCUCGAGGAAAGGCUCGAGAUGCAACCUCGAAGGAUUCCCAAACACUAGACUUUGGGGAAGUGCAGACCGAUGACUAUGAUGGAGAGAUGGGAAGUUCCCUAGGCACUUGACUAAAGCUGACUGAGGCUAUUAAACUAGUUUGAGCCCGUACCGCAUCAUUAAAUGGUUGUACCAGCUAUUUAUCUUGGUAAUAAACUCAUUUGUACUAUGUUGGGAUUCCUUCUUAUAUAUAAAGGGAACCCUUGUAAUUUUGUAGAGACACUCACAACAUUCAGUACAAGAACAUUCUCUACUCUCUAACUCAAACAAAUUCUCAUGGUUUCAUUACUUACAUUUAUUGUUUAUAUUCAUUGUAUUCUAUUUAUUGUUUUUAAUUUAUUGUUCAUUAUUAACAAUAAAUAGCCUUCAUGAAAGCUCUCUAUACUGUUAGCCCUUCAUCGACCAUUCGUAACUCAGCAUCGACCUCGACCUCAAUCUCGACCUCGAGGCCCCGUAUAGUCAGACUCGAGGCUCCGUUUCUCAGCCGCUCGGUUUGCUUAAAUGUCUCAUUUUCAAGUUCAUAUCUUAUUUUCUAGUCUCACACUUAGCAUCUACUGCAAAAAAACUAGCAUAAAAAUAUAUCACGUAUUUUUAGAACCACACAAUCAAAUCUAAUUAUAAUUACCAUUUUCAAGGUAAAUAGUUUGGCGCCCACUGUGGGGCUAAAAAUAAUAGUGAUCGUCUUCGUGAUGGUUUAACACAUAAUGCAAGUUAUCUUUCAUACUUUUUCUUGUCCAAGAAUCUUUGAUUUCAGGACAAAAUGUCUAACUCAGUCAAUGCAUGUGAAAAUAACGGUCUUGAAGAUCAUGGAGAGAAUGGUGUGGCUGUUUCAGGUAUUGGUGUACCACCACGAAACCCUAAGGACACACUUUUGUCGAUCCCCGCGGAUGUGGUCUCACGUGAUGCUCAACACGACGAUAUAAGCUCUCAAACUAACAGAAAAGUACGACAAGGAGAAACCAACAAGAAGCUCAAAAAACGCCAACCGAGUAGGAACAAGAGGUUAGCCUUCAUGUUGUUUGUGAAAUGUUACAUGCACAACAGCUGGCGAUUACUCAAGUACAAAGCCAUCAAAAACCCCAAGUACAGCGGCCCCAGAAAUGGCCCUUCAAAUCGAACAGGUACCUAAAAUAUUGAGCAAUAACGGUUCAGUAGCCGACCCAGCUAUUAUAAAUAUGCUCGAACACCUCACAAAGAGGAUUUGGUUAGGCGAAAAGAUGAUAGAAGCCAAUGACAAAAAGGUAAAGACUUACAAUUCGAGGGUCAAUCAAAUCUCGGCCGCAACCCCGAUACUGAAGUGUGUUGAUUUGAAGAAAUUCAUACAAAGGCCAUUCCUGUCAGAUGCCACUCCAAAGCCCAUCCCUAAGUAAUUCAGAAUGCCCAACCUUCCGAAGUACAACGGAACCUUGGACCCCAAUGAGUAUGUCACUGCUUACAGUUGUGCGAUGAAGGGCAACAACCUAAAGGACGACGAGAUCGAAUCUGUCCUGCUUAAAACAUUCAAGGAGAAACUCUCGGAAGGUGCCAUGAUGUGGUAUCAUAACCUGACUCCGAAUUCAAUAGACUCAUUUGCCAUGCUAGAAGAUCCUUUCAUAAUGCACAUGCUGGUGCCAUCAAGGUUGAUACAAGGAAAUUCGACAUGUUCUAUAUCAAAAAAAGGAAAAACGAGAUGUUGCGGGACUUUGUAUCUCGCUUUCAAAUAGAGCGAAUGGAAUUACCACUAGUCUCCAAUGAAUGGGCAGUGUAGGCCUUCACCUAAGGCUUGAAUGAGCGAAGCUUGGUGGCCUUGAAGAUGCUGAAGUAGACUUUGGUUGAAUAUCCCGCUAUGUCUUGGUCGGACGUCCACAACCGAUACCAAUCAAAGAUCGGGGUCGAGGACAACCAAUUGGGAGCCCCCUCGGGUUCGAUAUAUCCAAGCAGACUCGGGGAUUCUUGAGCAUAGUCAAAUUCAAUAGGCACACAAGACUGGCGGAGGCACCGAGCCUGUCGAAACACAACUUCAAUAUUGACGUUUUAGAUAUCGUAUUUGCCAUCAGUAAAAUUAGAGUCACCAGGUGGCCAAUAUUUGAACUAUUAAAUCCGUCGCAAAGGAAUCCUAGUGUGCGAAGUCCACGGCAUACACGGUCAUAGGACCAAAGAUUGCAGACAACUUUGAGAAGAAGUAGCCAGGUUACUCAGCAAAGGGCACCUCCGGGAGUUCCUUAGCGUCCGAGCCAAAAAUCAAUUCUGGGAAAGAGAGGCGAACAGGAAAAAUGAAGCAGAUGAGCUGUAUCCUGUCAUCCACAUGAUCAUGGGAGGGGUCGAUAUCCCACAGAAACCCACUAUCAGAAGAACAAAAAUAUCCGUCAUCAGAGAUUAGCGAACUCGAGGUUACAUACGCGAUGAUUCUCUUACAUUCAGUGAUGAGGACAUCGAGACCUUGUCUCAGCCUUAAAACAACGCAUUGGUAAUCUUUUUUCUUGUGAAUACUUUCAAAUUAUACGUGUACUCGUGGAUCCAAGUAGCUCGGCUAAUAUUAUCAGGUCGAGGAUGGUAGAGCAACUCGGACUGCUUGACCAAAUCGUGCCCGCCUCUCCAGCCCUCAACGGAUUUAACAUGGCGAGCAAAAAAUUGAAAAGGGAAAUCACCCUCCCGAUCAAUGUGGCCGACACUAUCCAAAAUGCCACAUUCCAUGUCAUCGAAGGAGAUAUGAGGUAUAAUGCCUUGCUUGGAAGGCCAUGGAUACUAUACAUGAGAGCAGUACCAUCAACCCUUCACCAAAUGAUGAAUUUUCUGAUGAUGGAAGGAAUAAAACCUUGUACGGGGAACAACGUUCACCAAGAGAGAUGUUCGCAGUACACUGUGUAGCACCGACAUCGAUGCCUUCGACAUCGAAGGAACCAUAGGAUAAACAAAUAGUGAAAUAGAAAUCAUGAGAUACAUUCUCAGCUAUACCCGAAUAGAACAAGCAAAGGACCGUGUCAUGUCCUUGGAGCAAAUAUUGAAGACCUAUUGAGGUUCAAAGCGCCAUCGCUACUAAGGUAUAACCAUCUCCCUUUUUAUUUACAUUCUUCAUUAAACUUUGGGUAGAUGCCCAAUUAUAACAAUUGAGGCGCCAUACAGCUCGAAGACCUUAAGGUUUUAAUGCAUACGUUGCACUCUUUUCCUUCGAUCGAGUUUUAUCCCAAGAAGGGUUUUACCGACAAGGUUUUUAAUGAGGCAACACCUACGUUCUACUUGAGGAGAACCUAACAAGUGUUCAAGGCUUCUCUUCGAUCAACCUCAAGCAGAAGAUUUCCUUCUCAAAGAAGUCAAGAUAAGCCAAAAAUGGUCUCGAUUGGAAAAUGAUGUAUCAUGCCAAACUGUCGAAUGAACCGUUCAUGCAUAGAAUAAUUGAGCCCUUGACGAAAAAAAUGUAUACUUGUGCCAAGUAACCAAAUCUGUAAGACCUCAAGCAAGAGGUGAAUCAUACUUGUACAAAGUAACCAAAUCUGUAAGCCCUCAAGCAAUGCAUGUUAUAAUUUGUAAGACUUGACAAAUGGCAUAAAAUCCCGAUCUCAAAGUUAAGGCUAUAUAUCCAAACUUAUAAGACCCCUAAAAAGGCAUACCCUCUAUAUAGAUGCCAAAACUACUUCACUCGGGGACAGAAAGGCUCCGGCCAAACAUAAUGACCACAGUCACAAGGCUGUACCAGCUAAACUAAUGCGACUCGAGGAUGCCCGACCGUCACUAUAAAUUCACAGGCCUUCAAUUACUUCGAAACAACUUCAAAAAGAACUGGUUAACAAGGCUAACCUCAGCAUAAGAAAAAGAGCUUCGAUCAUAUCAGCUCCACACAAUAGGCUUCGAAACAAUUUAACCGUAGAGAAAAACUUCUUGAUGUGCUCAAUUACUGCUACCUAACGACACAUAAUCGAGGUUAUUAUCGAACUGUCGAAGAGUCGGGCGAACACGAAUACUUCAAAAAGUCUUUAACGAGGGAAAAUAAUUUCUACAUAUGAAGUUGCACCGACCCAAUGCAUAAGAGCCACUGCCGCCAGACUAUACUAAGAGGUCGUACCGACCCAACAUGUAAAAGCCUAAGGGCCAGCCUAAAAGCUUAAGGGUCAAUGAGCUCGAGUCGAAACCCGACUUGGAGACUGAGCCUGAAAUAGUUAACUAAAGAGGCCUAAGGGAAAUAUAUGUGAAAGCCACUAUCGCCAACUUAAAAUUAAGGGUCGUACCGACCCAAUGCAUAAGAGCCCCGACGCCAUCCUAUAUUAGGGGUUGUACCGACCCAACACACAAGGGCUUACGAGCUAUCCCAACAAACAUUAGGGCCAAAUUACUAACCGAAAGGUUUCUUUAUAUAUAUGCACAUGUAUGAAACAAUGCAAGGCUAUAUUUACAAGUUCUCUAAGAACACUAUACAAAGAAUCAAAUAGAAAAAAGCCUAGUCUUUUUUCUCUUAGGGACUGCGGUCUUAUCGGCCUCUUCUCCACUAUCUUCGGCAUAAGACAAAAGGAAUUUGGCGUCAUAUUCAUCCGCCCUGGUCUGUGCUAUCUCUUCCGAGAGAUUGAAGCCUCUAGAGUGAAUCUCUUCGAGGGAUUCCCUCUGAGAUUUGCAUUGGGCAUAUUCAUUGCUUCUUCUCUUUCGAUCGAAAGAACCUCUCAACUUUGCUGAAACCUUAGCGAUGUAUUUAAAUAGACGUCCACUUUCUUGUCAGCCUUAGCCUGAACUUCUUCAGCUUCAGUCUGGGCAUCCAUGACCUCAACCUUCAUCUUUAAAAGUUUGGACUCGAGCCUUGCAACCUUGCUCAUCUGAAUCGAGCUAUUUUCACGAGCGUUCCGGAGUUUCACCUCUAGUGUAAAAACCUUGGCUAGAGCAAUAUUCUUGGAUGCAACAUGGACAUCUAUCUGAGCGUUUAGCUCGUUAAACUCAUGAUUAGCCUAGCUGACCUCGCCCCAAUGGUGUUCAAGAUCCUUUGUCUUUCUCUGCAACUGAGGUAUCAAAAUAUUAAUCUUUGAGAAUAGAAAAAGAGCAUGCACUCCGUCAGAAUAAAGGUUACUUAUUUCUCAAGGUGACUCUCGUAGUUCGGACUUCUAUUCUCCUAGUACCGAAGGUGCCUCAAUAUUUUCCCCUUUCAUCAGAAAGGAGCUUGACUGACUUUUCCCUGCCCAAGGCUUUCCUUAACUAGGCUUCACAGCGAAGUAACUCGUACUUGAGCUUGUCAAGGGUAUAUAAAAAAGAAGCUCGAUAAGAAAACAAAAACAUAAAAUUAGAAGAUCAAUGAAACCGACCAAAAGCUUAUCAUAAAACAAAGCCGUCGAGCGUCCUCAAAGGCCAAGCGUGCAUUUGCUGGCCUAGACAUCAGCCCCAAUUUAACCAAUCUCGGUGGGGGCAUGGUCAGUUGAUACCCCACUUGAUUUAGGUGGCCCCUGGUCUCGAACCCCCCUUGAAGUACCUUCGACAGGGGGCGAGAACGGCGGUUGAACGAAGUACCUUCAGUGAGAAAUGAAGACGGCGGCAAGAGAGGAACCACCUUUCCAAGGCCAGAAGCCUUAGAUGCUGUAAGAUCAGCAAAUACAUCUUCUUUGAGCCUUCGAGCAGGGUUUUCCUCACCAUGAGCACUCUAAUUCUUCAAUAACCCCUUUCGCUUGUUGUCGGUCCUCAACCCCAAAGCUGAGAAUUCUUACUCCCUCGUGAGGGGGCAUGACCUCAGCUUAGAAAAAUUUCCAAUGCAUGCGGUGAAGGAGUUAGUACACAAAAAGUACCUAUCAAAGGAAUCGAGCCACACGCCACGUACCGUGAUGUUUUGCCUCCCAUCUACCCUUGUCCAGAUCUCGCCACUUUCAUUCAUCGUAAGUUGAAUAAGCUGCUAGUUUUCUAGAGCAAUCCCCAGGUUAGGAAUCUCGUAUGGCAUCCAUGUGAUUGCUGCAAAAAGAAAAGGAAAGGAAAGCCUCUCUACAAAGUCUGCCUUCACAAUGGACAAAAAUAAUAAGAGCACAAGUGUACCACUUACGUGUGAAAUUCCAUUUCUCAUGAAAUGGAAGGAAUUCUGCAUGGAUAAUAUCGACAGUCCACACUCGAACGAAACGAAUCAUUCCCCAUCUUUUUCAUUGCUAAAACAAUGGGCCGAGUGGAUCGAUAUCACUGAGUAAUCACGCCUUGACUAUGCAAGGGCCGGUAUAGUCUGAGAAAAUGACUGAGGGUAAACUGGAGCCCGGCUUUAUCUGCAAAAUACCUAACCAAAAGCGCUAUCCUCCAAAAUGAUGGGUGAACUUGUGCCAGGGUAACCCGACAUCUCCUACAAAAUUUGACCACGACUUUUUCGAGGGCGCCCAAUGUAAAGGGGUACGUAUAGACGUUCAAAAACUACCCGACAUGAGACAUGAUGCUCUCUUCCCGGGGAAAGCACUUGCUAUACCACUUUUUCUCCCCAUCCGCAGUCCUUUCUAACUACCUUAAGGUGCUCCUCCCCUAUUGAGGAAACAAACCUCAACACAGGCUCCCGAUGACCCUAAAUAUUGGGAGGUCUCUCUAACACAAAGUCCCUCUGCAUAACAAAGCACCUCGAGGUUAGCUCACUAGGUACCGAAAAUGUACCACCGACCAAGCGCGAAGUAGAGGUGGAACUCUCCGUUCCUUCGUGAAUGGGUUUUGACAUAGCAGCCAUAGAAGAUAAAGGCUGGGGCAAAAAUGUUUAAAAAAGUAAGAGAACUAGCAUAGUAAAGAGCUAUAUACAAGGGAUAGUUACACAAAGAGCGGAGUCCUCAGAAAAAAGAUAAGAAAAUGCAUAUAUAUAUAUAUAUAUAUAUAUAUAUAUAUAUAUAUAGAGAGAGAGAGAGAGAGAGAGAGAGAGAGAGCAAGCGACGACUGUUCGCCUAUCCUGAAGGCCAAUUAAUUCUAACCAUGUCAGCGCUAUUGUUUAGUUUAGGGAAGUGUACCGGUAGGACCACCUGGGUCACUUCGCAACUGUGGAAUAUAAAUGAUACUGCUGCAUGAUGCUCGGGGGCCAUUGAAACUCGAAGAUUUAUGUUGUUACAAGUAUCGAAUCUAAAAGGAAAUCAACCUAAGCUUAGAUGGUGUCCGAUCUUGAGGGUCCCUAACUUCUCCAAAUAUGCGCUCCGAAGAGCCAACGUCAAAAUUCAAUAGACUAACUUUACAUAAGCAUUGAGAAUAAAUCUGGAGACUUGAAGCAGAGAAAUUUUCGUAUAUUGCCAAACAUAUAUUAUAAGGGGCGUCUUUGCAAGACCUUUUCCCCCGAGAAGCUCAUACACAAAAAAAAAUGAAAGAUUAUAUGGGCCUAUUCUUCUUCAUCGCUGCUCUCUGGGUCAUCUCCGGAGCCCUCAUCUGAACUAGCCAAGAAUGCUAAUUCUUCCUCCACAUCUCGGUCUUCCUCUAUCUCAGUUGAGAGAUCGAUGACUUUAGUGCAUGCUUCCUCGAAAUUUUGACUCCUUUCCUCUGCACGAGCACAAGAGACGGCCUUAUCCAGCUUCCGCUUGGCUUUCUCCAAUAUUUCUCGGGCUCGUUAAUUCGCUGUAGCGGUAUCUUUCUUAUUCAAGGAUGCAUUUUCUUUAGCUGCAGGCUUGGAUGCUAGUAGUGCGACAAUCUCUUUCUUAGCACUUUGAAGAAGGUUCCGGGGCGAUGCUAGUUCCAUCUGCAGAAUGUCCCUUUCUAAGGUCACGACCUCAUUUCUCCCUCUCAGCUCGAGGACCUCCGCAUUCUUGGUAGCAGCCUCCUCCCGAAGUUGCCCCACAUGGGCAUCGUUUUGCUGGAUCUACAAAUGUAAAGCAAGAUGGAGCAGUAAGUUAUGGGAAUGAAAGGUAAGUCCGUAAUGCAGUGUUACCUACUCAGCAAGGCCAUCUUUUCUUGGCACGCGGCCUCCAAUCUCGCCCAGAACCCGCUCAACUCCUUCUUAUGGGUAGAAGAGGCCUCUGACUCUUUCAGAGUCGAGGUGAGCACCUCGAGCUCCUUCCCGCGGCACAAAAUCGCAUCUUGGAGCUUGUGAAAGGCACAGUCGCACAUCUUCUUAGCAUGCGUAACACAGAAAAGUUAGAAAGUCGAGCACAGAUAUGUAAGGCAUGAAUGGUAUGAGGAAAAUGUCACCUGCUGGUGAAGCUUCUCUGCCUCCCCGAGGUAAAUAGAAGUAUUGAGGUUAAUAUCCUCGUCAACACCAGCAAUGAGGUCUUCAAGUACAUGCCCCGCUCUAUGAAAGGCCCCCGCACAAGUAGUAUCCUGAUCCUGAGCAUCCAUGAUCUCCCCCGGUGAGAAUGCAUGACCCACAUUACGGCCACUCUAGGUGUUAAUUUCUUAAUGGGCCUCAUUUUGCCCAGAAGCUUCUGGUUUCAGGCUUUUCGGAGUCACCAACAGCGGGUUCGUCAGCACAAACUUUGCCAUGUCCGACUUGAGACUCGGACACUAUCCCCGAGCCCCCCCUCGAGGAUCUCCUCAACACAGGAUAGAUCUAUAUUGACCGUUCCUGAUUCGGUAGCCCUUGAUCCAGCAGUCUACAGAGCAUCCGUGACUGAUAUCAUCCUUUGUGCCAAAGGAUGUUCAUCAUCAUCAUCAUUUUCUUCCUUAGUGGCAGGACUUGCCGCAGCGGCUGAAAUCAAGACGUGGACAUUGGUCCAAGGCUUGAAAUAUUUAGGUUUCUUUUACUUGGGAGACUCAUGAGCUGCCUCUUUUGUCCUCUUCUUGCCUUACUAGGAUUUGAGGUCCCUUCCUCACCGUGAGGAGACGACCUUAUUAACACUUUAUCACCAAGGCUUGCACAAGCAUAAUGCUCAAAGCUCACCAACAUGAAAGGUAUGAAAAAUGCAUAUGGAAACAUUGUAAAGAUAACAAUAAAAUGCUUACCGUGAUUCUUGGAUGGCCACUGCAUUUUGGCCAAGUUAUGCCAGGAACACUCGAGAUAAGGAAACGAAGAAUUUAAUCACCUAAUCCACCAUGAUAGGUCCUGGACUGCAUCGGGGUACCAAACAGUGGCUGCAUAAUCUAAAGGUAGAUCAUUUUUUGAGAAAAAAGGAAAGAAAGCAAAAAAAUAUACUCGAGGGAGAGGCACUUAUGCUGUGUAUUCUACUUCUCCUGGAAUGGCAUCAUUUCGAUCGAGAUAAUGUCUGAGAUCUUCACUCGGACAAACCGGCUCAUCCACCCCUGAUCCUUGUCCUUAUUAAUGCUCGAGAAAAAUGUCUUUGUAUAUCAAGGGUGAAGCUUAAUCAAACCUCAAAAAAGACGAGGGCUAUAUAGUCUAAUAAAGUGGUCAAGGGUAAAAGUCAUACCCUCGACCUUAUUGGAGAAAUAACGGAGCAUAUAGACUAUCCUCUUGAAAGAUGAAUAAAUUUUGCCAAGCGUCACUUGAUACUUUUGACAGAAGCCGAGGAUAACCCGAUCUAUCAUCGAGAAAGAAGGAUCUGAAGAAUAGACGGGACCCAAAGUGAAUGGUUAUGUAUAUAAAUGAAGAAAGCCAACCUUGUGGUAUGUUAUGCUUUCAUUAGGUUUGGGAAUCUCAACUAGCACUGUCUUCUCCCAUUGACAAUCUUCCUUCACUCUGCCAAUACUAGUCACGAUGUUAAUAUACCGGGAUACAUGCUUGCAUCGGCUCGACGUAGAUAAGGGAUUUUUGAUAGAGAAAUUGAGAAUAGUGUCAAACUCAGUAGGGGUAAUUGUUCAACAGUUGGGGCCACUUUGGGUUUUCCCUUAGAUGGUCGAGACGAAGAAGCAACACCCUCUUUUCGAGGCACUAAUUUGGAAGUUCUGGCCAUAAUAAUAAAGAGGUUUUCUGGAAAAGAAGUGAGGAACCAGGGGCUGAAGAGAGAAGAAUGUAGAAUGUAAAAGGGGGUAAACGUAGCUCCAAAAAUUUGAAGAUGUUGUAAAAGUGUGGAUCACUAAAUGUUUGGGGUAUUUGUAUGCCAUAUGGGCAGCAGAAAGGCCGAACCAGUAGCGCUUCAUGGGUUUCUCGUUAGUUGUGUUGACAAUAAUCCUUGUGCGGCUUUUGAGUCAUUGAAUUUAAUGCUCUGAUGGACUAACGUCAUAGUAAUAGUAUCAAAGAACCAAUAGUCCAAAAUUUUUUCCUAAAAUUGUUAUUCUAGAAAAUGCAAGGACUAUCUGUGUACGGUGAAAUCAGAGGAGCUGAUUUCAUGGCUAUUAUGAUGCUCCAUAGAUAUGCCUCGUAAGGCUCGUGGCAAGGCUCUAGAUGCAACCUCGAGAGGUUCCCAAAUGCUCUAACAUGGGGUACAGAUCGAUGUCUAUGAUGGAGAGAUGGGAAGUUCCCUAGGCACUAAACUAAAGCUGACUGAGGCUAUUAAACUCGUUUGAGCCCGUACCACGACAUUAAAUAGUUGUGCUAGCUAUUUAUCUUGGUAAUAAAUGCAUUUUUACUAUGUUGGGAUUCCCUCUAAUAUAUAAAGGGGACCCUUGUUAUUUUAUAGAGACACUCACAAUAUUCAAUACAAGACCAUUAUCUGCUCUCUAACUCAAACAAAUUCAAUUGGUUUCUUACUUACAUUUAUUGCUUAUAUUCGUUGUGUUCUAUUUACUGUUCUUCACUCAUUGCUCAUUAUUAACCAUAAAGAGGCUUCAUCUAAACUCUCAAUAUUUUUAGCCCUUCAUCAACCAUUCAUAACUGAGCAUCGAGCUAGACCUCGAGGCUCCAUAUAGCCAAGCUGGAGGCUACGAUUAUCAGCCGCUCGAUUUGCUUAAAUGUAUCAUUUUCAUGUUCUUAUCAUAUUUUCUAGUCUCACACUUAGCAUCUACUUCCUAACAACUAGCAUAAAAACAUAUCACGUAUUUUUAAAACCAUAAAAUCAAAUCUAAUUGUAAUUACCAUUUGCAAGGUAAAUACAUACAUAAUGAUCCAAUAAUAUCAAGAAGCAUACACAAUGAUAUGUUGUUGUACAAAGGCAUACACAAUGCUCCAAUAUCAUGGCUUACAACCGACUCACACUAUCAAACAACUUAUAAAAUAAUUUUAUUAUUUUUAAUAAAAUAAUAUAUUCACGCCUAUUCAAAGACUACCGAUUCUGCCAAGAACACGUUUGUCCCAACACAUGGACAUGCAGAAAAAAUACAUUUUCAAAACUGGUUUUUAAAAAGCAAGUAUCAAAGCUUAAAGUUUCACUUGACUCGACUAUGCUUUCGAUUCUCUAGAUCACCUUAAACUUAAUAUGAAUUACCAAAAUUAUAGACUUAGGAGCCUCGUUUUAGUUAUUCAUUGUUUUCAUUGUGAUUAGUACCAUCAUAUUUAAGAAAUCAGAUUUCCUCUUAGUUCUAUCAAUCUCUUCUCCUUGUUCACCCUCCGUGAACAUUUCAUGACGACACCUAGUCCCUAUGACUAGGUAAGCCUAACUAUGCAGAAAUAAAAUAAUUUGCUGAAAUAAAAGACAAGAAUUAAACAACUGGAAGGAAAACUGUAUAUAAGUGUCGCUCCGCAUAUACCACUCAACAUCACGAAAUCUAAAACAAUAUCCCAAAACAUGAAAUCUCACAGGAAACAUAGGCUAGAGGAAUACAAUAAAGUGCUCUAAUCUCCAGAAAUAUCGACAUCAAAGUAUGAUAGAAGACUAAAUGCUACAAGAUAGAGUAAGAAGGAGACUCUUCCGUCUUUGGACAUGACAGAUAUACCUCAAAGUCUCUGUAGAUCACCCUGCCUCAAUGAUACCGCGCCUGAGUGGAGGUACCUGGAUUUGCACAUGAAAAUCAUGCGUAGAAGAGGCGUGAGUACCCCACAGUGGUACUUACUAAGUGCCAAGCGUAAUCUCAGUCGAGUAGUGAUGAGUAAGGUCAGGGCCCUACUGAGGAUAAACAACUCGUCAGGGCCCUACUGAGGUUAAACAAAAUAAUAAGAAUAGAUAGUAUGAUAACUGAUGGAUUAAUGUGAACAACAGUGAAAUAAGAUAGAAUUUACAAGGAAAUAACAAAUCAGCGAUGAAAAGAGUAAACACAAAAAUGUACAGCUCAAUACCAAGAUUGAGUUGUACAUUUAGCUCAAUACCAAGAUUGAGCUGUAAUCUCAAUAGCUUAAGUAAAAUCGGAUUUUCAACAAUUAGCUCAGGUACACGCUUAUCACCUCACGUACAAGGCACUCAAUUAUCAAAUAUCAUAUCCUAAGGGGAAAUGUCCUCCACACAAGGUUAGACAAGCCACUUACCUCGAACCGGCUCCAAAAACAACUCGAAAUCACACUUUUGCCACGAGUAUCCGACUCCAAAUGGCCCAAAUAUAUUCAAUUCAAUUACAUAUCGUAAAUAACAUCUCAAGCAACUAAUUCUACUAUUUAGUUCAAAGAUAAGAUCGGAAUUAGGUAAAAUCACACCAAUUCCCCUCAGUCCAACAUCUCAGAAUCGGAUAAUUAUAACAUUUUCAGAACCCUCGUACUCUCACGAGUCUAACCAUAUAAAAAUCUACCAAAUCAAAGGUCAAACACCCACUCAAAACUCAAUAGUUUGGUCUAUGAAAAUUUCCCCAUUUUUUAUUCAAAAAUCUGAAAUUAAGGAUGGACUCGUGAUUAGAUUAGUGGGGUUUAAGUAUAAGAGAGUAGAGAAUCAUUACCCAAUUGUUUCCCUCAAAAAUCCCUUGAAAUCUUUCCCAAAACUGAGCUCCCAAGCUUGUGUUUUGAUAAAAAUUGCUAACCCUCAUUUUUGGAUGAUUUAAUAUUUCCCAGAUAUUUAAUGCAUCGCGAACGCAGAGAUGAGCUCGCUUUCGCGGAGAAGAAAAGUAGAAGGUGACAAAAAUGCCCUUCGCGAUCGCGAGGGGUAGAAUGUGAAUGCAAAAGCCUGGGGUCACAAAUCUACGCAAAUGGGGCAUCUGGAAUGCGAAUGCGAACGCAAAGAAGGAAAAUGUUGAGGUCUAGAAGCUGCUUUACGUGAAUGCUAACGUGAAGAAUGAACUGGAAUAGGUAUGUGAAUGCGUGGCAGUUUACGUGAACGCGAUGGGGAAGUAAGUAGGGCUUCGUGAACGUGGAAGGGGUUAGGCGAACGCGUAGAACAAACUGGCCCCCUCCAAGAUUACACUACCCGAACGAGAGAGAGGGGCUGCGAUCGCGAAGAGGAAAAGUCUACAACAACUGAGUUCAUUUUUCUGUAAUUUUUAACAACACAAAAAUGCCCCGUGAGCAUCCGAAACACAUCCGAGGCCCCUGAAACCUCAACCAAACCUACGGACACAUCCCAUAACAUAAUUCAAACUUGAACCAAUCCUUAAACCACCUUAAAGAAUGCCUAAAACUUGAAUUAAUCAAGGAUGUGAGCCUAAGAACUUCAAAUUUCACAAAAAUAAACUUUCGAUAAAAAACCUAAACCAAACAUGUCCGAAUAACCUGAUAUUUGCGCACACAUCCUAAAUGACAUGACAGAGCUACUGCAACUUCCGAAAUUCUAUUCCGAGCCUCCGAUCAAAAACUCACUACCGGACAAGAAACUUCAAAAAUUUAAACUUCGACAUUUCUAGCCUGAAUGAGCUACGGACUUCCAAAACGCAUUCCGAACACGCUUUCAAUCCCGAAAUCACCUAAACAAGCUAACAGAACCAUCAGAUUUCCAUUGCGAGGUUGAGUUCACACUAUUAUGACUAUGGACCACUUUCCAACACUUAAGCUCUUACUUAAGGACUAAGUGUACCAAAACUCUUUUAAACCCAACACUGAACGUCCCGGCAAACGGAAAUAGCAUAAAUAAAAUUCGGGGAAGCAUUUAAUAGGGGAUCGAGGCAUAAAUUCUUAAGACAACCGACCGGAUUAUCACAUCCUCUUACACUUAAACAUUCAUUCUUCCUCGAACGAGCAUAGAGAACAAACCUGACGUAGUGAGAAGAUGAGGGUAUCAGCUGUGCAUAUAUCGUUCGGUCUCCUAAGUCGCCUCCUUGGCUGGCUGACCCCACCACUGAACCUUUACUGAAGUGAUGUUCUUUGAUCUCAACUUUAUGACCUGCCUGUCCAAUAUAGCCAUUGGCUCCUCAAUAUAGGAUAGAUCCGCAUCCAACUAGACUGAACUGAAAUCCAACACGUGCAACGGAUCACCGUGAUACCUCCGGAGCAUCAAAACAUGAAAUGUCGGAUGAACCUCGGCAAAACUGGGAGGUAAGGCAAGCUCAUAAGCAACCUCCCCAACUCGCCUCAAAAUCUCAAAAGGGCCAAUAAACCUCGGACUCAACUUUCCUUUCUCUCCAAAUCUCAUGACGACCUUCAUAGUCAAAACCCAAAGCAGAACCCACUCUCUGACCAUAUAUUACACAUCACGAACCUUCACGUCCGCGUAGCUCUUCUGUCUAGACUGGGCUGUACGGAGUCUAUCCUAAAUCACCUUGACAUUCUCCAAUGCAUCCUGAACCAACUCUAUGCCUAAUAGACUGGCCUCACCCUGCUCAAACCAGCCCAUUGGAGAUCUACAUCUCCUACCAUAUAAAGCCUCAUACAGUGUCAUCUGCAUGCUGGACUGAUAACUGUUGUUGUAAGCACACUCCGGCAAUGGUAAGAACUGAUCCCAAGACCUUCCAAACUCAAUCACACAUGCACAGAGCAUAUCGUCAAGAAUUUGAAUAGUGCUCUGUCCAUCCAUUUGGGGUGAAAUGUUGUGCUCAACUCAACUCAAGUACCCAACUCCUCUUAAACGGCUCCCCAGAACCAUGAUGUAAACUGAGUACCUCUGUCCGAAAUAAUGGAAAUCGGAGUACCAUGCAGACGAACGAUCUCUCAAAUAUAAUGUCCACCAACUGCUCUGAUGAAUAAGUAGUACACACAGGGAUAAAAUACGCGGACUUGGUCAGCCGAUCCACAAUCUCCCAAAUGGAAUCGAACUUCUUCGCGGUCCGAGGGAGACCAACUAUAUAAUCCAUGGUUAUCCUCUCCCAUUUCCACUCCAGAAUCUCUAUCUGUUGAAGCAAACCACCUGGCCUCUGGUGCUCAUACUUCACGUGUUGAUAGUUGAGGUAUAUAACUACAUAUCCAACUAUAUCCUUCUUCAUCCGCCUCCACUAAUAGUGCUGUCUCAAAUCCUGAUACAUCUUCGCAG
rnacentral:lncRNA from 1 species